rnacentral:lncRNA from 1 species
GACGAAGCUUCAAGAUGAUCAAACGGAGAGCCUACCGGGAUUCUUCCACAGAGAUGGUUGUGACUCAGAUCCAAGUGUCCGAUAUACGACGCUUCUGAUAAAGAUUUCGGUAUCGGCCCCCGGAAAUUGUUAUGCGAUAAAUCAAGUACAUUUGAUUAAAUAUUCAGACGACCGGUCUGAGUAUGCACGAUAAAUCAAGUACUGUAAAAUAAGAUCUCACACUGAAAACAUCGGGCAAAUAUCCUUGAAAUGCGUUCUUGCUCAAAUUCAAGUUACUAAUCCCUGAAUUGAAUAAACUUGGCGGUAUUUUCCCUGAAAGCUUGUUAGAAUCUAAAUUUAGUGUAGCUAGAACCGCCAUUCUACCCAGAGAAUCAGGUAUUGCACCCGAGAGUCUAUUUACCGAAAGAUCCAAAUCGGCCAGACGGUAAAUUUUCGAAACUGAAAUCGGAAUUCUUCCGCUAAUGAAAUUCUGACUGAGCAAAGCGCGGCUUAACAUUCGGAGACGCCCAAAAUCUUGGGGAAGUGGUCCUGAGAUUCUGUUAUUACGCAAAUCCAGGUGCAUCAGGCUCGACAGAUUCGUCAAAGAACGGGGGAUCUCACCGGAAAUAAGAUUAUCGGCAACGUUCAGCACGGUUAAUCUGUGUAACCGUCCUAUAUCUGCAGGUAGGUCGCCGGAGAUCCGGUUCCCGAUCAAAUCAACAAUCCUUAGAAACGGAAGCGAAGUGAUGCACCGCGGAAUCUCUCCGGAGAUCCCUUUCCAAUCAGCGAUUGUGAGACUCGAGAGUCGCUCUAGCUUACAGAUGGAAGGCGAGAUUGUACCUGUCAUGUAACCGGACCGGCCAGCUUUUUCAAAAAUGGGGUCUUCGGAUUCACCUCUGAGAUUUAUAUCGGCGACCCUGUGGGUCUCCGGGUCGCAACUAACGCCGUACCAUUUAUGACAGCAGUCAAUUCCGGUCCAAGAAUUGAAGAUUCCAAGGUAAGGUUCAUGGAGAGCGGCUCUAAAAGCAAGCAAGGCGGCCCGGUCUGACGGCGGGCAGCUUUUAACUGUUGAAGAAGAGAUUAAUAUCGUUAUCAAUGUAAUGUAUAAGAAAGCGGCCAUGGCUUCUCUGUUACUAACUCUCUGUAUCUCUUUAUUAGUGUAUAGGUUUCUCCCUGUAUAAUUGAAGUGAGUAAUAUAAUACUAUUGACAGUGAAUCUCUGAGUUUCUUUCUGGUUUAAGUUGAGAAAUGAAACGAAGUAUGGCAGGCAGGACCUGACAACGUCGUCGUGGUAUUUAUAUGCAGUGAGAUUGUUUGUCAUGACGGUUUUGCCCCUUAAGUGGAUUAUUACGAGGUAGCGGCUCUCGUUGUUAGUUAAAAAAAAAAAAAAAAACAAUGAAUUAUCAGUAAGAAAAUCAUGUUCUCUUUAUUAGUUAAAAGUUACCUAAUUACCAUAUGCUAGGAAUUUUAUGAAAUGGAUGAAGAAUACACUAAACCUUGCGGUAAUUGACGUUGAAGAAAUUUAUACAAGCUGUCGCGAAUGUGGAUUAAAGAGCCAUUAUGGAUAUAGAUUUUGUAAUUGACCACGUACCAAACAAAAGAAUUUCUGAACAUCAAAAUGAUAGUCUCUGAACGUGAAAUCUAAUUGUAGAAUUGAUAGUUUAACAACUUGCUCAAAGAUUAAUGGUGAGUCUCCACUGCUUUUAAAUUUGGGUUGCCUAAAAAACACAUACACGGUGGAAAUUGGAAGGGGGAGCUGAAUCUAAUAAUUGAGUAUGAACAUAUAUAUAUCAACAAAAGAGGAAGAGAUAAGCUCGAUCUGAAGUUGAAAGGUGAGAGCAUGGGUGAUUUUGCGCACUGUACGUGGCUUUUUCAGGACCAUGUUUUGUUCUUUUAUGAAUCUAGAGAGAAAUAGAAUGUAGGGUUUAUUUCCAUUUCCAUUAAUAUGGUAAAAGAAUGUUCUUAACAUGGAGGGUAACUCUACUUCGCAUUGGAAACCCUAAUCUAAGAUAGAUUGGAUGUAUUGAUGACGACUAAUUAAUGAUCAUUAACAGUUUUUUUAAGUUGUAAGAACUCAAAUAAUUAGAGAAGUUAGGACAAAUUAAAGCAUUUUAAUCUGGAUUCAGAAAAUGUCAUUGUAGAAGAAUGAUUGCCCCACUAGAAACUGAAUCUUUGUCCCCGAAAGUGGAGUCAUCAAUCUGGUCCAUGAGGAAAUAGUCUAUUUUAAUUAAUGCAAUGCAAAUAAUUUUUUACCCAUUAGUCCAAAAGAUUGCCAAAACAAAGUACUCUCUGCAUUAUUCAUAUCCAUAUGCUCUAUUUAUACACUGCUGGAAAUGGUCCACCAGAAGAUGAAGAUCACGAUUCAUGUAUUUGUGAGUCUUUAGGGUUUUGAAAGUAAAUUAGCAGACGACAAGCAGUCAUUAGUGUCCAUGUCAUCAAGAUUUCAAGUAUAUAUAUGCAUAUCAAGAUUAAAAGUUAAAGCUUUAUUUUGAUAUCCAUAAGUUUCUGCCUGAUUGGCUGAUAAUUUGAAGGUUUAAAAUAGUAAUAAUUAUAGUAAGAAGUAAGAACAAAACCGAUGGCAUGUGGUAAAUAAAGAAGCCGACAAGUGAAGUGAUCUGUUUUGCUUAGGUUUCUGAAAUAAUGGAAGACAAGAUUUACAAAAACCUUAUCCACAAGAUCAUCCCAGGCUAGUACUGUAACAAUUAAACAAUGUCAAUAAUAAAAUGAGUUGCUUCUGUCCUACUUCCUACAUAACAUCUUAUAUCUACUCUCUUUCAAAAGAUAAAUUAAUUAAUUAAUCUUAUAUCUACUAUUGUAAAUCAAUAAUGGAUCCAAUGAUGCCUGAAAAUUUCAUCAUCAUUAAAAAAUCAAAUAUCAGAUUUAUAAUAUUCGAUAUAUAUAUAUAUAUCAACUGUCUAAUCCAAGGCAGUUUAGUCUAUAAUGGUUAAAUACAUUAGACUCUAUACUGGUGAUAACAAGAUUAAGUAAUGGAGUUAGUAUCUUGAGAAAAAUUUUAAACAUAAUUACUUUUGAUAUGGAAGAAAUUAAUCUCUCAUCUAACCACAAAAUAAGGAGUGGAAAUACCCUUAUUAAUUAUUAAGUCUAUUGUAGGUCUGGUUAAUUAGUCUUCCUGAAGAAAAGAAAGUCAUACUCAUUUUAUUUUAUUCUAAAAUAGAAUCUUUAGGCAUUCAACAAUUUCAAACUUCAGAGAUUUUAGAAAUUGAUUGAAUUCUCACACUACAAUUGUCUCAUUCGACUUUUCUAGUUUACAAGAUUGGAACAAAAACAUGCAUGCACGUGGCACAUGUGCAAGAGGGUCCAUCAAAGGAAAAAAAAAAAUCGAAUUAUUAGUGAUGCUAAACAGACAUUUGAUAAGACAAGGAGGAAGCCAGUAAGGUGAGAUUUGAACUUUCCAAUGCUCAAUCUUUAAUUUUCAAGUUCCACCAUCGCUCUAAGAGGAACGGGAGCUGGCCUAUCAGGAUUUUAUAGUGAAAGAGGCUCCGAUGUAUAAUCUCAUGAAUCACUCAGAUUCUUUCGAUCGAUGUUCUUUGUCAUCAAAUUACCUCUUCGAAUUUAGUAAUUAAUUAAUUAAUUAAUUACAAAACCGGACAUUGAUUUAUGCUAUUCAUGAAAGCUCUAGAGACAUGGUAGUUGAUUUUACUAUUUUCACCAUAUAUGACAAGAAGAAUUAUGGCAAUCACAUCAUCGCCUACUGGAGACAGCUCACGGAUCCUGAAAAUACCACCACCAUUACUAGAAUUCUGCACCCACCAACUGCUUUAAUGCUAUUCCUGGAAUAUUAGAUCCAACAUUUAGGUUUGGCGGAAAUUGGAGAUUUGAGAUUGAGUCUUUGUCCAUUGUCCAAAUCAUAUGUACAGCUACCGCCAUGCAAUUAAGCCUUCAGAUCAGUGCAUAUAAUACCAAUGGCCACUGAUUAUAGUUUAUAUGGCUGUUUAAAUAUUACAUGAUUUUAUAUGAGCCAUUAAAAUCCUGGUUGUCUAAAAGCAGGUGGUAUCCAGGGGAGUCAACAACAGGAAUUCUGGGCUGACCAAGAAUUUUUGAGCCAGAUACCGGGGAUUAUGCACAUGUGCAUUUGCUUCAAACAUGGCAUUCAACUAGGAGAGACCUAUUGCUUUUUGCUAUGAUUGAGGAUUUUGUGGAGGAAAUUAUUGAAAACCUACCUUUUUUUAAUACAAUAUUUAAAACACCUUCAAAUGUGAUAUGCCAUAUAGAAGGGAUUUACUUAUUUAGAUCAGGUCUGUAGCUCCACCCAUCAACUAAAUCAAUGAAAAUAAAAUUUUUAUAAACAAUAAUAUUUCUAAUCAUACACUUACGGAAAUAAAUAAUAAAAUUUUUAAAAAAUAUAUUUUUAUUAAUUUAAUUCAUACGAGACCGGAAAUUCAGUUGAAGCAAGUAUUUUCUUACGACAGAUGUAUUAGCUGGUCUUCGGCCAAUGUUUGUUGCAUUAUAAAACUCGAGUCAUCGGGUUGAGCCUUUUCUACUCGAAGGUCAACUUGCGAAGUCGAAGACCGUGUCCUGUUCUUUAAUAAGAAAACACUAGAACAUAGCCCAUCUUUGUCACUUUUCGAGCCCAAACCCAUUAUUAUUAUAAAUAGGCCCUGUGCUGGAGAUUUUCUUUGUUGUUAUGCCAUUUGCGUUCCCUUUUGUGGAGGCCCAUGGGCUCAAAUGCUUUCUUUUGGAUUAAAUUUGAAAUUUCCCAAUUUACAUGUUUUAAUCCUAAUUUUAUCGAUAAAGGAGCACAGGAUUUCCUAAUUCAAAAUAAAUUUAGUUCCAUACACAAGCUAAACAAAGAAAGUUUUUUUUUUUAAAAAAAAAUAUUACUAUUUUGUCUUUUUUUCUAGUAUAUAAUUAAAAAUACUCUCCUUUAAACCAACACAUUAUUUAUCUUUUCUUUUUUUCUUUCUUGGGUCUAACUUGGCUUCAGGGAUAUAUGCAAAAGUCUUGAUUGAUAAGUUAAUAAUCAUUUCAUUACCUUAACAAAAUCAUAAAUGAUAAGUUUGUAUGUCAAAGUCGUUUAAUUUCUUGGUCUAUAAUGUGAGUCACUGGGGCCUCAGAACGUGACUUUGGCGGUGAGCAUCAACAUUAAAUGACAAAAUUAGCCGCCAAAAGAAUGUUUAAUUAACUAAAAGAGGAGGAAAAGAAGGUGCAAGUCAUGAAUUCGCAAAAUGAAAGCUAUGUGAAAGUUUCUGAUUUAAAAGAUUUGACAACUGAAGAGGUAAUUGUUCUGAACUUGUUUGGUUUUGCAUUUUUGGAGAGAAUCUGUCCUUGUACAAUACAGGCCCCCAGUUUUAGAACAACUACCCAAAUUUGAUAUAUACAAUAUGUGCCUUCCACGUCAUCCACCCAGUGGAGUAUUUGUUGGACUCUCUCUCCUCACAGUUCCGAGCCUUUGAUGGAUCCUACUCUAUCCUAUCCGUCUCGUGUUAACACGCAAAACACUUAUCUACACUCGACGUAUAUUUACUUAUUCUUUAUUUUUAAUUAAGUUUGAACAAGUAUUCAAUAGAACCAAUGUGAUCGUCAUCUCUAAAGAUUAUUUUUAAUUUUCAAGCAAUUUGAUUGAUAAAAAUAAAAAUACAUAUGUUUAUGUGAAUAAAGUUAUACAUUCAAAUUUUCAAACAUUGGAUUUUUUUAAUAAAAAUUUAAUGAUCAAAAUAAUACUGUAGACACGAUUGAAAUUUAUGAGAAAAUCAAUCAGACUGUACUUUCUAAUCUCUCAUCAUGUUCACGUAAAAUUCAACUAUUACAUAAUUCUAAAUGAAAAUGGAUUUUAACUUCGUUUUGUAAUAAUUAAAAAUGCAAUUAUGUACGAGGGAGUGGAAGAAGAUGAAUGAGACACCUACAAAUAAAGAGAAGUCAUCGAAAUGAUUUCAGAUGUUCUCUGUUUGUUAUUAGAAAAGUAAAAAAUAUUCUAAUAUAUUUAUUAAUAUUCCCAUUUAAGUAAAAAAAAAAAAAAAAAAAACAAAUCUUUUCCUUAAUAAUUUAUGUAAUGGAUCCCCGAUCCCGAUAAUGAUGGAGAGGAGCCAAUGAUAAAGCCACAGAACGACUAAGAAAACGACAUCGUUCACAUCAAUGCGCACUUACUGCCGCUUUUGAUGGGCCCCAGUUUUUGUCACAUGUAGUGGAGUGGCACAACAUAAUUAACAGAUGAGUAGAAAACCCUUUAAAUGAAACGGGUCCAACUUACCUUUAAAUAAUUUAAAAUUUGAACGUACAAACUUUACUUUACUCUAAAUAAAUAAAUCAUUUAAUAAAUAAAUAAAUAAUUGCAUCACGGUCCUUAUAAUUAAUCUGCUUAAGUUGCAAUCACGUUUACUGGUUUUAAUAGGGCAAAAACUAAAUAAAAUAAUCACCAAUUCAUUACCACUUUUUUAAGUAGUUGAAUCGGUGACCCUACACGUGUACUUUGAAACCCAUUUUAAGAAAAAAAAAUGAAAAUCACCGCUAUCGAAAUACAUAAUAUUAAUUAUUAUAUAAAACUAUUCAAAUUCCUAGCUUUCUAAAUUUAUCCAAAUAUAAUAAUAAUAAAAAAAAUCUCAUUUUCAGAAAAAAUUAAUAAUGAAAUCAAACUUCACAUGCAGAAUAUAUUUAUUUAUUUAUACUUACGAGAAAAAGUAAUUUUUUAUUAGGUACACAGUGAAAAAUGCACAAGCCUCUGUCAAAGCAGAUUAAUAGAUCUUAUUUGUUUAAAAAAUAACUAAAAAUAAUAAUAAAUAUAAAAUAAAUCUAUGGAGGCAUUGUUUUUGUAAGAGAAAUUAUUACAUGAAAAAGGUAUUAUAAACUUUUUACUAAAAUAAUUUAUUUAUUUUUAAUAAAUAAGGUUGUACUCAAAUGAUGGACACUUACCCUACAAUAAUUAGAAGAAAGUGAGUGUUGUUUUGAUAAAAUGGAAACAAACACCCUUAAUUACUUAUUUUUAAAUAUGUAAUUAAAUAUUCAUAAGCAAAUUUUUUUUUUUUGCUUCUAGAACAAUGAAAAAUAAAUGGAAAAGUGAAGGAGUCAAAAGUCUUUUCCGUAAUGUCGUUUAAAAAGAAAUUUUCAAAGCGCAAAUAAAGAAAAGGGCAAACCGGAAAAAGAUAUAUAUAUAUAUAUAUUUUUUUUAAAAAAAAAAAGGAAAAGGAUCCAGAAGAAGGGACAUGUUGAAUUAUGCGACAAUUUUCAAAUGUCCAUUAUGACACUUUUGCCACAGUGUCCUGACGCAGCCACUAUAAACUUUUCUAGUUUAAAUUAUGUUAUGCUAAAAGGCUUAACUUAAAUUAUGAUUUGGGUAGAAAUGUAAUAUUAUCAAAUCUUAAUAAAGUUUUAUAUUCUUUUUUUUCUAAAAAAAGGAACAAAAAAGAAAAAAAUUCAUGUGACCUUUAUAUCGUAGUUGAUUUUAACCACAUAUAUCUCGCAUAUAUGUGCACGCGUGCGAUCUAAAAUUCUAAGAAAUCAUAUAGAGAUAUAUUCAUAUUUAAAUCUAUUAUAUUGUACUUCACGUUACUAUUUUUAUUACUUAAUAUUGUUAGAAUUAUUAUUUUUUUCUUUCAUAUCAAUUAAAUUUCUAUUGCUUUCAAUGCACCCAAGUAUAUAAGAAAAUUCAUGAUCUUAUUUAAUCCAUUCAUUGCAUUAAAUUUGAUAGUGCUUCACUUUACGCAGCAAUUAAAAAAAAUAAUCAAUUUGAUUUUAAAUUAAUUGAUUAAAUUUUAGAGAAUGAAUAGAGAUAAUCGAUUUAAAUUAUAUUUCAAUUAUUAUUAAUUUAAUUAAAAAAUUUUACGAUUAUUUUUCAAUACAUAAAUACCUUUUUUGAGAUUACUUUUAUCUUUUAAUACAAAAUUUACGGUUACUUUUAAAAAAAUUAAUUGAUCUUUUAUCUUAUUUUUUCUUGUCAAUCCGAACUAUAAUUUGAGCGUAUAUAAUAAGUCUAUUAAAUCUAUUGACUUGAGUGUAAUCGCUCGAGCGUGAUAAGUUUCCCUUUUAGCAUUUUUAAUAAAUUUAAUAAUCUGAUUGCCCAUAAAAGAAAAUUUCUCUUAUCCCUUGUCAAUUGUUUACAUAAACAUUGCACCCCAAAAACAUUUUUUUUUUAAAAAAAAAAACAAGGGAUAAAAUUCCUCUGUUUCUGCAAUUGUACCUAACAAAUAUAAGCAACAUAAAAGGGCAGUGAGGGUGGGUUCCCAAGAAAAAGAAAUCACACCAUCUAUUAAUCAAGGGCACAAAAAGUAAAAAUUGUCUGUUUGUGGGUCAAGUAGACCCCAGGGGGACAGUGUGGUCAUUUUAAAACAAGGGGGUGCCCCAUUUAUCAAAAUCCUUCCAAAAUUAAGAUUAGUUUUUGUUUUCCUUCCUGAUGUAAUAAUAAGUGAAAACGACAAGCCAGACAUAUGUUACCUCACAUGCAUUUUAUAAUACAGCCCUUUUUUAAUACAAAUCUGUGCCACUCUUGGAAUAAACUAACGGUAUCAAGGGCAUUAAGGUCAACGAAUUUGGUGGAUAGAUAUAUCAAUUUUGCAGUGCAGCUCCAAUUUCUGGCCUCUGUUGCUUUUCGUUGCCCGAAAUGUAGAAGAGGUUUUUAUAUAUUUAAUUUAUUUUCUUUUUUCCCCCCAUUUUUUAGGAAUUUCCAUUUCUUUUCUUGCUUUACUCACUGGCAUCAUCAACACCAUCCUUUGAAGCAUCUUUCAGAGGUGAAGCUUUAGAGAGAUUGGUUUUGUCCCUUUUAUGUGCUUGUUCUGAUCUUGUUCUUUUACCAGUGGUUUCUUUAUUUUUUUCAUAUUAUCUUCUUGUGUUCAGUGGUUUCAAAUUCAAGAAUAGCUAAGUGGGUUCUACCAGAGUUGAUAGUUUUUAUUCUUUUAUAUAACAAGAUUGUGGUCUAUGGUCUCUGUUUUGUUCUUUUUCAUCUGUUUCACUUGAAUUGAAUCAAAUCGAUGACACCGCUUCACUAUUGGUGCUUUUUUAUAGAUUUCUUUAGAUUUGUUCCUGAUCUGAUCGAAAGAAAAGCUCAAUUUACUUUUUCAUUUUCGAAGUCUUAAUCAAGAAAGAAAUAGAGAAGAAAAUGGAAUCCGAGUUUCAACACCACCAUCCUUUCAUUCAAGAUUAUCAUCAACAACAGCAACAUCACCAGAAGCAAAUGAAUUCUGGGUUGACGAGAUACCAAUCUGCGCCAAGCUCUUAUUUCUCCGGUUUCUUAGACAGGGACUUCUGCGACGAAUUCCUCAAUAGGCCAUCAAGCCCUGAAACAGAACGAAUUUUCGCCAGACUUUUGGCCAGUACUGGUGGCAACACUGAAAACGUACCAAGUCAAAAUUUUUCAGCACUUAAGCCAGAUUCUCCAGUUAAAGAAGAAGUGCCACAAGUUAACCAGCAACCGCAGAUUAAUGAUACAAGGUUACAGCGACAGAGCAGCAAUUACUCUGCUUCGCAGAGUUUUUACCAGAGCCAAUCAAAACCACCAUUACCAGAUCACAAUUCUGGUUCUGCUAUGGAUUAUAGGAUGGUGACACCAAUGGGAAUGGAGCGGUUGCCACAGAUGAAGAGUUCUAGUAGUGGCAAUAAUUCGAAUCUUGUUCGACACAGUAGCUCGCCUGCAGGGCUUUUCUCCGACAUAAAUAUUGAAAUGGAAAAUGGUACGUUCUUUUUCUUUGGAAAUUAGUUCAAGUUUUCUUAUGGGUUGAGUUGUUUUUUUUGUUCUUAGGAAAGACUGAGACAGCUGAGAUUUUCUUUCAGUAUGAUUUUCCAAUAACUAAUACGACAUUUAUCCAACCAAGGAAUAGUUUCAUUUGAAAAGUGAAAGAGAAAGGAAGAAAACAAGAGGAAAACAAAGAAAAAAUGAGCCAAGACAGAUUUUUGUUUCCUUAACAACUCGUGCUACAAAUUGAUAGUUAAUAUAUUUUAGUUAAUUCUUUGUGCUUUUCUGAUUACUAAUCAUUCGAAUUAGCAAGUUGAGCUUAAAAAAUUAUUUUAGUACAAAAAUGGACCAAAAUAGUUUGAUUAUAUUGCUGUAUGUUCGAAUAAUAUAUAACUAAGUAUUAGCAAUUGGCAGGAUAUGCUGUACUGAGAGGCAUGGCAGAUUAUGGAACAGCUAAUAGAGAAACAUCUUAUUCUGCAGCAAGUAGGCCUCCAGCUGCUCCUCCUUCAGGGCGAAUGAGUCUAAUUGCUGAAAUUGGGAACAAAGAAAAUAGCUCUGACAAUUAUGCCGCAGCAAGCUUCUCUAUUGCAUCCUGGGAUGAUGCGUCUGUUAUGUCUUCUGGUGCAAAAAGACUAACAGAUGAUGAUAGGACACCCUCUGGCCUAAACACAUCUGAAACUCAGGUACUCAGAAUCAAUAAUGUUAUUUCAUUUUAUUCUAAAGACUAGUAAGAUUUUGUUAUUGAAUAGAAUGCAGAAGCAGUAACUCGCCCGCCAUUGUUGGCACAUCACUUGAGUUUGCCAAAAACCUCAGCUGAAUUUUCUGCUAUAGAAAAGUAUCUGCAGUUGCAAGAUUCAGUGCCUUGCAAGAUUCGAGCAAAGCGAGGAUGUGCUACUCAUCCAAGGAGCAUUGCUGAAAGGGUAAAUUAAAGUUGUUUUCUUUUUGUUCUUUUCAUUUUACUGCAUUGAUCAUUUCUUGAUGCAGUAAUGAAUUAUUUAUCUUCAAGAUUUGCAAUCUUUAGGUGAGAAGAACUCGAAUUAGCGAAAGAAUGAGGAAACUUCAGGAUCUUGUACCUAACAUGGAUAAGGUAGAAUUUUCUCUAGUUCUAGGUACAUCUGAUAGGUUAUGUGUAGACGAAAUAUCCUUACUUUGUUUACCUAUUUUCAGCAAACAAACACAGCGGACAUGCUAGAUUUGGCUGUCGACUACAUUAAAGACCUCCAAAGACAAGUGAAGGUGAUAUAUAUGUGCUAUAAGUAAUUAAUAUUGGAUCAAAACUAACUCAUCAAAGACUCUAAAAACAAGUCUUCUUGCGUUUUUUUGGGUUGUUUCAGACACUAUCAGAGAACCGGGACAAGUGUACCUGCACAAGCAAGCAUCAACAGUAGCCAAAAAAUGGCAGAGUAUAACGAUAUAACUCGGUCAUCAUAUGUAUAGAACUGAUUAAUAUUAAUUAAUAAGGAAUUGCAGAGGAGGUGUAAUCAUAAAGAGGGAACUAGGGUUAUGGUUUCUUUUGCACUGAAAGAGAAGAAGAUAGUAAUGUGGGUAGCUACUAAAAGCUAACUUUAAGAUCUAAAUUCAAACUUAUUUAGAAAAUAGAAAUGAAAUAGCUGUACAGUACUUUGUUUGAGUGUAUGUUGUAACAUGUGUUUCUACUUCUGGAAGCUUAGCCAAAUUAAGAUAAGUUUAUGUGUUUAAGAAAACAGAGAAUAAUUGCAUGUUUUUACGCGUUUCUUUCCUUCUUUUUGCUCUCACUUUAUCUGAGUUAUGCACUUUAAACUUAGUGUUUCUUUCCAUCUUCAAGUAAAGAAAGCAGAAAGGUACUUUCAAUGGCUGUCCCUUUUGAUUUGGCAAUACCAAUACGUGGAUGAAUGUGGGACAUACUUUCCUUCUUCGACAUUAGUUGAUGGAGGACUUUUGGUGAAGCCUUGCAGAUUAACUCUCAUUUAAUAUUAUCGAAGGGUUUUUAUGAUUUUACGUGAUCAAAUGAGCUCCACAUAAUUUCUUUUUUUUGGUUUUCCUUUGUCUUCGAUCCUGGGUCAUUGUCACAGAAUUAAUGGAAAGGAGGUGACUUCUUCCCCAUUUUUUAUUUCCCUUAAAAAGAAAUGGUUGGUUUUACUGAUUUCAAUGCUUGGAAUGGCAAUGGAUGGAUAGGGAGCUAGUUCUCUCUCUUCAUCAUAGUCUCCAUGAAACAUUUUCAUUUCUGUCUCCGUCCUUUUAACAGUGAUUACUUAAACAAAUAAACAACGACUGCGAAUCUUUACUUCCACUAUAUGAAUUCAUUAUUUUUAAAUAUCCAUCCGAUCAGUUAUAAAUAAAUCUCUUGAAAAUUUAAAACCAGAUUAAUUUUAUAUGAUUAGUUAUAGACUUUCACACUAGGUGAUCAGAAUCAUCUUGUUUCUUAAUUAAAAAAAAUUAUAUAUUAACAAAAUAUUAAUUAGAGUGAUAAAUGAUUUUAAUUCUAUAAAAGUGAAAACAUAAAUUUAAUUUCGCAAAAUAUAUUUUUCUGACAUCCGAGGAUUACAGCUCGUUCUUAUAUACAUAUAUUCAUUCCCUUGUGAAUGUCAAUUUUUAUGGAGUGCCCAAAAAGGAGUUAUUCUAGGUGAGAUUUUUGUUAUUCCAAUAUCCAAGCACUAAUUCCUAAAGCUUGAAAAGGCAAGGAUCAAAAAAAAAUAGGUACAGUGUUAGUUUAGUAAUUUAGCGACAUGGACUUUAUACGAUGAACAGGCAGGGUCAAGGUUAGUUGAUAGGUGCUGGGUGGUGAGUGGUGCAGUGGUUACAGCUGGAUGCGAUGGACGAGUCACUAUCCGAGUCGGGGCCCAAGUCCACGAAGAAAGUGAGUGACAUGUCAUUGCUGACCUCACCAUCCCUUAAUGCCCUGCCCUUUAUUGCACUCAGAAGGAAAUUUUUAAUUUUCCUUUCUUUUCUUUACUUGAUUAAUAUCGUUAACGUGAGGUGAGGGCAACGUCUCUCAGCUCAAGCUUUGUCCAUAAACAAGUAAUCCGACAGAUGACUUGGGAUGAUAUUGAUUUAUUUUUUCUUAAUUAGUCUCGAAUUUGAACUUUUAAAUACGAAGUUCUUUUAAAUAUUUAAUAGAAAAAUGAUUUUUGUCCUCUAUAAAUUUAUUCAGUGUAAAUCGAGAUGAAUAAGGUGAGGUCAACGAGUGUUUAAUGUUAAAUGAUUUAACAUUAAAAAAAAAAAGAUUAACUUAUUUAAACCGGAUUUAUAACUCUAUUUGUGGACGAAACCAAUAAAAAUAUAAAAUUUUGUUAAAAUGAAUAUUUUUUUAAUACACCAAAAAAAAUGAUAAAAUAAAAAUAAACAAGUAUUUUCCAUAAAAGAGGAAAGAGGAAAAAUGAUUGCAUUGAUAAAGAUAAAGCAGUUUGCUGUUGAAACGUUCCCCCAACUGUUAUUGAAUUUCUUUGCGAGCCCAAUUAAGGAUUGUGAAACCCAAGUUUUAUUUUGAACGAGUCUUCUUCAGUGUUAAGCCCAAUUCACCCAAACAUAGACCUUAAUUGGGCCAAUGUAAAAUCAUCGGAUAUCUAUUUGUAAGAGCCAUAAUGAACUUUUCUUUUUUUUUUUUUUUUUUUUUUUUUUUUUUUUUUUUUUUUUUUUUUUUUUUUGUGGUUUUUUUUAAAAAAAAAUNNNNNNNNNNNNNNNNNNNNNNNNNNNNNNNNNNNNNNNNNNNNNNNNNNNNNNNNNNNNNNNNNNNNNNNNNNNNNNNNNNNNNNNNNNNNNNNNNNNNNNNNNNNNNNNNNNNNNNNNNNNNNNNNNNNNNNNNNNNNNNNNNNNNNNNNNNNNNNNNNNNNNNNNNNNNNNNNNNNNNNNNNNNNNNNNNNNNNNNNNNNNNNNNNNNNNNNNNNNNNNNNNNNNNNNNNNNNNNNNNNNNNNNNNNNNNNNNNNNNNNNNNNNNNNNNNNNNNNNNNNNNNNNNNNNNNNNNNNNNNNNNNNNNNNNNNNNNNNNNNNNNNNNNNNNNNNNNNNNNNNNNNNNNNNNNNNNNNNNNNNNNNNNNNNNNNNNNNNNNNNNNNNNNNNNNNNNNNNNNNNNNNNNNNNNNNNNNNNNNNNNNNNNNNNNNNNNNNNNNNNNNNNNNNNNNNNNNNNNNNNNNNNNNNNNNNNNNNNNNNNNNNNNNNNNNNNNNNNNNNNNNNNNNNNNNNNNNNNNNNNNNNNNNNNNNNNNNNNNNNNNNNNNNNNNNNNNNNNNNNNNNNNNNNNNNNNNNNNNNNNNNNNNNNNNNNNNNNNNNNNNNNNNNNNNNNNNNNNNNNNNNNNNNNNNNNNNNNNNNNNNNNNNNNNNNNNNNNNNNNNNNNNNNNNNNNNNNNNNNNNNNNNNNNNNNNNNNNNNNNNNNNNNNNNNNNNNNNNNNNNNNNNNNNNNNNNNNNNNNNNNNNNNNNNNNNNNNNNNNNNNNNNNNNNNNNNNNNNNNNNNNNNNNNNNNNNNNNNNNNNNNNNNNNNNNNNNNNNNNNNNNNNNNNNNNNNNNNNNNNNNNNNNNNNNNNNNNNNNNNNNNNNNNUUUUUUUUUUUUUUUUUUUUUUUUUUUUUUUUUUUUUUUUUUUUUUUUUUUUUUUUUUGAGGAUGUUCUACUAAAAAUAAUUUAUAAAGCUGUUGUUUCCCUAAAAAGUUUAUUUAAGAUUAAAACUUUACUAUAUUUUCCUUGAAAUAAAAAAUAUUUCCAGAACAUUUCAAAAAUAAUAAUGUCCACAAUUUUUGAUAAAGACCAUUUUCACCUUAUGCUAUGCUAUAAAUCGGAUAAAAAUCAUUAUGAUUUCUCGUAUAUUGAAAUAACAAAUAUUUAUAAAAUGGAGGGAGUUUUAAUGAUCAAAAUGUUAUAUAUAACUACCCACUCACAGUAAUAGUAAUUAAUAUUAAUAAUAUGCUUGUUUAGUUUAUUUUUUCACUUAUUUCAAAUUAUAAUUUUAUUUUUUUUAAAAAGCUAAUUUUUACAGCUUUUUAUUUUAUCCCCGAUCUGACGUGGUUUUUUAAAUAAAUAUACUUCAAUAAUUAUAUUGUCAUUACCAUAAAUCAAAGGUUAAAAUAAAUAAAUAAUAUAUCAGUCUUUAUAGAUUAUGAAAAAAAAAAAUGCAAGGAUAUUAAAAAAAAAUAGAAAGAAAAUUAUGAUUGUAUUGACUACAUUUCCUAAAAAUGUAAGAAUAUAAUAGAAAAAAUCGAAGAAAAAUGAUUUAUCAAUACCUGCUUUUCUAUUUCAAAAAAAUAUAAUAAACAAGGGUUUUUUUUUUUUUCCAAAAAUGUAUAAUAAAUAGGAAUAAAAUUACAAUUUUAAUUAUUUUCCUAUAAUUUCCCUUCCAUGCUCUCCGCCCAAUUCAAACACAGUAUCAAGACAUUCAAAUUCAAACAUAAGAUCCUCUGAAAAAAACGAGAGUAAAACAUCUAGUAAAGGACAAAAAAGGAGCCAAAAUGGGAAAAACAUCAAACUGUGAGUAACGUCCAUGUAUUUAGGUUUCCCUCUCAGUUCAGAAAUUUGAAUUUGCAUAAAACCAAUCAAUUACUACUGUUCAAAACAUGAAAUUUAUUUUUCGUCCCAAUUUCCAAUGGAUGAGUUAGCGUUCCAAAGAAAGAAAGAAAAUUGAAUACAGGAAUCCCAGCAAUCACGCUUUCAUCCUCCUCUCUUCUCUCCAUGGAAGAAGCGGAGGAUCAGCUCUGCUUUGCCUCCUGCUCGGCUGACUUCGCUCCCCCUCCCUCUGUAGUUUCUCUUUCCCCAUUCUCUUCCGUCCCCUCCCCAUCUUCUCGCCGGCUUUCCAGUCACUUCACUCCUAGCCGUCCAGUCCCAUCUGCUCGAAAGCUAGCUUGGCUGUCUCUCCAGGGACGGCUUGUUAAUGCGGAGGAAGCUAGUUCAGCUGAAGCCAUUGGGGGUGGCCUCAGCCGAGAGCAAACUAUAGCUUGGGAACUGUUUAGCCCCGUUCAAAGGUUCCUCAUCGUAGCCGUGAUAGGCGUCGCUGUUGCGGAGUCUAAAAAGAAUAGGAUCAUUUUGCGGCUUUCAAAAUCUGUCGAGCUUAGGGUCAGUGAUUAUACUUUGAUUUGAUAAAAUGGUUUUGGGUGUAUUUCAAUUUUCAGUUCUGGUUUGAUAGUUUGCCUUUGAUUCAAUUGUUUUGGGUUCAGAAUUGAUUUGAUGUUCUGUUGGACAUUUCCCCUUUUAACGCUGCAUUAUUUAUGAUACGUUAGUUCAUAAUAGUUUUGUUAUGACGGGUUUUUCUUGUUUUAAUCUCCGUAUCUUUCUUCCCUUAUAUUAUGAUUUUGAUGAUUCUGCUUAUAAGUUCUUAGCUGAAUUAAUAUCUCUGCUAUUAUAUGACUGAAUAUAGACUUGCUGCAUGAUUUUGCGUAAUGGACAACGUAAAUAAAUUGUCUAAUCUUCAUCAACGGAAGUUGAAUUAGACUUUCUUUAAUGCUAAUUUUAUGACUGAAUUUUCUCAUCAGUUACAAGAAUUAUAUCACCUAGAAUUUAAUGUCUAAUAUUUUUCUUAACUUCACAUGCCCUCUUGUCUUAUUCUACUUAUAGUCUUUUGUUUGAGAGGGAGCAAAAUGUAAAACAUUCAGAACUUAUAUAGAUGCUUUCAUAUAACUCUCCUUUGCAUUCUGUUUUCAGGAUCAGGUGCUAUCGGGAAUGCAGCAGAAGCUAGAUGAUCUAUGCGAGCAGCUGAAUAGCAUUAAGAACCAUUCAAGGGCUGAGGCUAAUACAUUAUUAAACGAGAAUGUAGAAUCAUUAUCUAGUAAUGUUUUUGGUUGUGCUAGAAUUAAAUUUGUUGACUGCGGUUGUUGGCAUUGUGAUCAUCACCAAAACCUCUUUGCUGGUUUAAUGGUGAGGUUCAUACUAUGUGAAUUUUAAGUUGGGGUCAUCUUUUUGAGUUUUAGCAUUGAUAAGCUUAGAGUUCGUCUCAUGAUAUAAUAUGCUUAUCAAGUGCUAAAAUUUCUUUCCCCCUUUUAUUAUAUUGCAUCAGGACAACUCUGUUGAGAAACUAUCUCAAGGGGAUGAGGUGUUCGAGUAUAAAGUGCCUUUAGUCAAUGGAGCAGACCAAGAAGAGCGCCGCAUGUCAGAUUUGUCAGAUUGGGCUUCAAGUGUUACUUCCUCGGCAGAUAUCCAGGUGACAAAAAGUGCAGCUGCACACAUUUACCUUUUAUAGUUUUUUUGUUUGUUACAUAAUUUACACAUCAUGAGGUAACAAUCAAAACUGAACUUGCUUUAGAGGACUUGAAUUAGCAUAUAUCAGUUCGAUAUAGACGUCCAGUGAAUUGCAUACUACAUAAGUUGAGGAUGCCACAGUAGAUUUUGAGAUAAAGCUAUUAGUCUCUUCUGAGCCAUGUUCUCCAACUCGAGGUGUCUAAGCAUUGCACCAGAUGUGUGAAAAAUUGCUUGUGACCUUAAAUUGGAGAACAAGACCUUGGGACAUCCUGCAUUUAAAUAUAUGCGUCUUCUUGAACCUGUUAUAAUAGAUGAAUGUGUUGCCAGAAAAAUUAACGUGUUAAUAUCUCUUGUAUGUUCUUAGAAUUGCUUGCUUAAUAGAUUAUGAUCACUUUUCGUUGUUGUGCAUUCUUACAGCUUCAUGGUUUAUUCUAUCUCAUCCAUUAGCACAGUAUACUGGAAACUGAUUUUAUGACUUGAUUGCUAAAUGCUCAUUUUGGAUUUUUGAGCAAUGAAUAGGAACUGCUGAAAAUAUACAACAAUGUUCACUUUUGUAUAAAGUUUGAAGUUUUUUUUGUACUCAUGUGGUGUGUCUAUUUGCAGAUGAACUCAUCUUCAGUAGACCUAGAUAUCUCCAAUCUCAAGAGAGAGAAUGAAGAGAAGGAUGCCACCAUAAAGGAGCUUAGUAGUAUUCUUCAGUCAACUAAUAUGGCAGGUUCAAAGGUAUUGCCAUUACAGUUACUUUCCCUUUGCAAUUUAUACUACCAAAAUUUUCAAUCUGAUAUUUGUGAAUACGUUUUCGUUGAUAAUAGAGAACUGCAGAGCUGGAGGAUAUUAUACGCAGGAAGAACACUAUCAUUACAAAACUUAAGAAGGACAUAAUGGUAUUGGAACAAAAGGUAAGUCGGUGAAAUUUCUUCUUAGCAAAGAGUGGCAUACUUCAAAUGUGAUUUAUUGUCGUAAUGCAUGUCAUACAAAUCAUAACUGGCUUUUCUCACAGGAAAUGAGUCAUGAAGUGUGCAAAUGCUUUUCUUCUUAGAAACAGAAGCAAGUGGUUUGAAAUUUUAUGUUUGAAUUGAAUACUAUUAAAAGUGAUGGCACAUAUGUCAUUCAUAAUAAUUCAUGAAUGUGUAUGCAUCUGAUUUACAUGUGUUAUAAUUGGCUGCAAAUAGUAUCUCUGAGGUUUCUGUUCACAAUUGCUUGAACUCAUGAUUCCUGAAAUCUAUUACAGUUGGUUCACUUUACGAGAAUUCGGAGACCAUCUUCCUCUCCACCUAUCUCACACAGUUGGCAUUUUCCUCUUAUGAUGGAAAACAUAGUUUAUGAUAUGGACAGUAGUACCAGCCCUUCAUCUUCUGAUUCCGAUUCAUCUCCUGUAAACAGACCAAAAACAACCGAUACUAAAAAUCAGUUUACCCCUGUUCAGGUUUGUAACAAUAUUCCUCUCUUUUCUGAAUCAUAUUAACUCUUAUUUGACAAACAAGAAGCUCAUGUCUUACAAAUUCAGGAGACACCUCUUCAAAGUAGUGACUCUGCCCCAGCAACAAAGGGGAAAUCAACAUCUGCAACAGCAUCAAGUUCUUUGGCAAAAUUAACUGAACAACACAUGGAAUCGAGAUCAGCUACUCCUCUCAAAGAAAUAUCUACAAAUCAGAAGUUCAGAUCACUUUCUUCUUUGAGGCUAAAACAGUUGUCAGCUAAUGGAGAAUUUAAGAAGAUUAGAAGGCGAAGCCAAACUGCAUGUAGUGAUGCAGCUCCAAAGAAGAGAUGGAUGUAGUAAGUAAUCCACAGUUCUGGAAGUGUAAUAUUAAAUUACAUCAUUAGAACAAAAUUUCCUUUUAAAUCCCAUGACCCAGUUGCAAGUCUAGUAAAAGGUCAUCUUCAGAGCUAACUAUUAUUGAAUUUUACUGAGAUUCAAAUUGCAUCAGGAAUUUUUGAAAAGGGCUUCAGGUCAAAACUUUAUGAUGGUUUGAAAAUUUGACUUGCUAGCUAAGCUUGGAACCUGUCUUCCUUGGGUGACUGACCAUUGAAUUUCUCAUUGUAAAUCUGCAUCCAACAGUCAAUCCACAUAAAUCGCCAUCACAUCCCUAUGCUUCAGGGCAAAUGAGAUAAUUUCUGCUUGUUGAUUGAUUUGGUUUCUGUAUAUGCUGACUGAUUAAUAUUGAUCUAAAUUCCAAAGCAUAGCUGUUCUCCUUCUUAUGUUAUUAUUGCUGCUUGUUUUUGUAGGUUUAUGUGGUACACAUGUAUGUAGAGAUUAUAUAUACGUAAAUCUGGCAUUUUGGGGAUGAACAACUAUUGCCUUUCGCAAACUGAGGUAAAGGCAAUUUCAUCUAGGUUGAAUAUUCACCUCCCUGUUAUAUCAUAUUUGUGUAGUUAAAUUAAUGUAAUUGCUGAACUACAUUACUAUAGUUUUCAUUAGAUUCUCAUAGACUCGGUGAUCAUAGUUUAUUUGUGAUUUCUGUUUCUUUGAAUUGGCGGUGGUUGGCUUUUUCUGAAUUGAUCAGACCUAAGGUAUAGUAGUUAGUACACAAUCUGGUAUUAGAUAUGGAAAUGAUUAAACAUAAUCACCACCCACCAUUGAUCUUUGAAUUGUGGUAUCAAUUUCAUGAUUGAAAAUAUUACUACAGUGAGAAAUGAGAUCACAUGAAGGAGCAUACACACUUGACAUUGCUAUGGUUAUAGAUAAGUGAACCCUUGAGUUGAUUCAGCCUCUCAGCUUCUCUUUCACUGGAACAAUAUGAACAAACUCUUUCAGACCUAACUUCAGUUGACUCUCCCACUUUCAGCAGCCUUUUCUUUCUUCUUAUUUUCAAUUUUCAAAUUAUUGGAAUAGGCCAAGUUGGUUGGUAUCUGCACUGCACCAAAAGGUAUUAUACAUAUAUUUUUUAAUUGACAUGAGUUAAAGUUCUUUCAUUUUCAGUAAUUUUUUUUUCACACUUGAUUCAAACUUGGGCUUCAAAUGAAAUUAUCGAAUUUUAUUCUUUUUUAUUUUCCAAAAUUUCCUUUUCUUUUAGUUAGUAUUAAUUGUAAUAUACAAAAAUAAUGAUUUAGUAAAAAAUAUAGUUUCAUAAAUUUUCAAAGUAUCUUUGCUCAGUCUUCCUGAUUUUCAAAUGGAAUCAAGUCAUAUAUUUUCCUGCGUGUGGUCUCAGUCAAAACAGGUAAUGAUAUUAGUAAAAGGAGUUGCGCUUUAUAUUAUUGAAUGAAUAUUCGUUGUUAGCCUAGCCGCGUUUUACGAAACUUCAGUUUUAGUAUUAAUUGGUCAAUUACGGUAACCGAACUAAAAUAAAAAAUCAAAUAAUUUUAUGUAUUCAAAUUAAUUGAUAAUUAAAUUUCUAAAAUAAUUAUAUAAUUAUGAUUAAAAUGAUUUUAUUUUUUUGGUUUGGAUCCAAGGAUUGCUCCCUUGUAUAGAACUUUUUAUGUUUUACACAUUGUUUGGAGGAAGUAAAAUAAUGAUGUAAAAUGAUAUUAUUUAUUUUACCUUUUUAUUUUACACUCAUUGUUUGGAUCGAUGUAAAAUAAUUUUAUUAUUAUUAUUACAAAUGAGUAAUAACUUGGAUUACGUAGCGUUGCGUACAUCUAGGACCAUGGACUCGCAGGUUUUAUUAGGUUGUAUGUGUGCGCACGUCAUAAUCCUGUCAUUGAUUUUCUCCUCCCACGUCAUAUCUAAAGCCACGCAGAAAUGACGCGCGUGCUUUCACUCGAGAAACCCCACAGUCAUGUGUCUCCUAGUAGCUGGGCCUGUUCUUAAUUCUUUGGUCAGUAGCGUGUGGGAUCUCAAUCCUCCAUUUAGUCAACCGUUUUCCAUAGAAACUUCCAUGUAUUAUGACUUUUAUCAUUCUCUUAUUGGAGAGAAAGGUGGGAAGUUCCAAAUAAAAUUAAACUCUCCUAAUACAGAUCAAAUAAUUUUUUUUUAUUCAUUUAAAUGUCCUUGAGCCAAAAGAAUACUAUAGUGAAAUUAAAUUUUAAAAUUUAUUUAGAUAAAGUAGUAAUUUCAAUAAAAUCUCAGGAAUUUUAUAAUAAUUUACCUUUUUUUUUUUUAAUUUAUUUGUACCACCUCGGUAAUGGUAAUCUUUCUAUAAGCAGAUGGUGAAUUACUAGUUACUGCUAAUAAAAAAAAGAUUAAACCCCCACAUAAAGGUUACAAAGAUGGUUGUGUAUAGCAUCUUUUUCCCUCCCGUUUGCAUGCCAAAUUAGAAUUUUCUUAUUAUGUGAUGUACAAGGUCCCGAUCUAAAUACUUCAUAUAAAUAUGUCUAUAGUUACCUCCAAAAAAAUCAACAAAAUUCCAAAACCCAUCUCAAGUUUUUUAUUUUGACUUUUAUGUAUCUUCUCUGUCUUCUCCUUGCUUUCUCAUACCUUAAACUCUCCGUCAGAACAAUCUUUCUGAUACCCGAUAAGCUUAAGAUUAACGAGAAUCAACAACCAUGAGCUUAUGAAAACUAGACCAAAAUGACCAUGGACCGAACUUCACCCCCCGAAACCCCAAAUAGAGACCCAAAAUCUGUUAUAGUCCUUUCUAUCGACUGUCUUAAAGGUAGUUCCAAAGCCGAUGAAUGGACCGGAGACAUGCUCCAAACCGGCGACAUAGUUGAAGAAAUCAGGAUCGGCUCCGCUUCUUCUUCAGGAUCAAGAUCGUCUCAGUCGUUUAAAGCUCCGUUUAAAAAUGGAAAGAGUGGGGUCCAGAAGAUUCUUCAUGGCUCGUUUAAGAAUAAAGAGACUUCGAUUCUCGUCCGAAUCAGGCGAGGCCGAGACGAGUUCGCUGAGUUGCAAGCUUGUAUCGUUCCUGAAUCGGGGUCUAAAAGGCAAUACAUUUUGAGGUCUAUUGCGGAUCCGAAUUAUACUGUUGGAUUCUCUGAUCGGUCCGAGGCGGAUUGCUUCGAGUUGCAAGGUGAAUUUUCAUUUUCUUUUGCUUUUGUUUUUACGAUUUCUGUGAUUUCGGAACUUUUUUUUUUUCUUUUUUUUGACUUUGACUUGGGAUUCUAUGCUAGUUGUUGGAUUCUCAUCCGCUGAAUUCUGGACACGUGUUAUGUUUUUAUGUUAAAUUUUUUGUUGAAUUUUAUGUUAAAAAAACCGGAUAAAAGAGCCUCCAAAUGAAGUAUUGAAUAGGAUGACAGGCACCUAUCGACAGAUGAUCCAAUUUUUCUCAGGGAAAAAAAAAAAAAAAAAACAAAAAAUAGGGUUUGAACAUUGAAUUCGAACCCACCAAAGCUAGAAUGAUUUGUGAAAAGGUCAUAUAAAAGCUAAAGUGAGAUUCGUAAAUUGGAAUUUCCUCUUGGCCCACUAGCACCAGGCAUGUUGGAUGAGUUGGUAUUCGGCCCUGGUGUAUUGUUAAAUGUCUUUUUCAAUCUAAAUGCACAUCCUUGUUUCUUCAUUGUCAGCAGCUAAUUGCGUGAUUAUCAUGUCUUACUUUUAGAUUAAUUGACUUUGGUAAUCUUGGCAUUAUAAAUUGCAUUUUGUGGUAGUUGAACUAUUUUGUUCACACUCCUUUUGGUGCUUCAAAUUUUGAUUCUUCUUUAUCUUUCACACUGUAAAUUUUAAAUUUUGGAAUUUGCCUUGUAACUUCAUUUGGAACUUAAUCCAGUUGACACUUUUCUUGUCCGUUGCGAUUUUUUUACUUAAUCUUGCAAAACAAUAAAAUUGAUUGAAUUUUGCAGCUUCAAGAAGCUCCAGAAUAGUCACUGCAUUAUCCAGUGCUACGCUUCAAGAUGGAUAUGUCUCGUAUCCAUGGACGAGGAGGAUGCAGGAGGUUCUGCCUGUUACUAAUUCAAGCUGCUUUCUUUCUAUACUUCUCCUUCCUAAAGUCUCUGAUCGAGUUGCUUCUCGGUAUAAUGACUUGGAUGACACUCUUGCCAGGGCAAAUACCUGGCUGUAUGCGUCUCAGGCUUCUGGGGUCCCGAUUGUUUUCAUGAAUAUUCAGACGGAGUCUCUGCUUACAAAGGUAACAAUCUCUGCCUCAGUUAAAUUAGAUUACUUUAUGUGCUUAAAGCAUAGGGUACGUGUGAGACAGGAGAACUUCGUGAUCCUUUGUUCAUCUCACCAAUGAAGCGGAAAUAAACAUGGUUAUACAUUUCUGACUUUCAUGGGUUUAAAAAAAAAAAAAAAGAGGAAAAAAAGCUACUUCCGAGUUGGGUACUCUGCUUUAAUGUAAUUGUUUAAACUUGUAUUUGUGUUAUUACAUUUGCACGCAAACUUACAAAUCCUCAAGUUCCUUUUUUUUGUUUUCUUUUUAAACUAUAGAAAUGUUUAUGUGGUUUCUAUUUUGGCACAGAUAUCUGGAGAGACAGCCUCUUCUACGGUGAAUGCCGGGUCAUUAUCUGAUUUGUCUAAUCUAGCACAUGCAAGCUUGUAUGGCUUCGAGGAUUACCAUGGAGUUGACAUUGGCGUUGUUAGAGCAGUCCGUCUUUGGUAUGCACCUCUGUGUGGAGAGUUUGCAAUAGAGAUGAAAAUAAAAGAGGAUGAUUCAAAGCUAGGGUUUGCCAUUAGUCGCACAGAAGAGGUAUCUUAUAUAGUCUGGGCUUUUUUUUCUCUGUUUUUCUUUACAGGUUUAUAUAACUCCUUUAAUGAACACAAUUGCUUAAUUAAUUUUCUUAUGUUCCUGCAGGGGUUUAUCUAUAUUUCAUCAGUCAUUGAAGGUAAUGAAAAUACACCCUCAACAAGGUCAGGUCUCAACAAUCUAUACAGAGAGGCAACAAAUAAAUCAAGACUGCUAGUUGUCUCAAGAGUAUCAAACCAGAGGGUCCUUCCUUGGAUGGUAUCUUCAACAGGAGCAGUAAGAUGCUUCGACACGGUUUCCCUCAGCCAAAAACUGUCGCUGCAUCGGCAUGCCAAGGUGCCUAUCCUCAUUCAUGUCUUCUUAUGGGACCGAUCAUUGGCUUCAAUUAGUACAGCCAAUGCUAGGCUUAGGUCUGUCUCCCCUCCUGUCAUGUCAUUUCCACCUGAAAUUCAAUUGGCACACCCUCCCAACGAGAAUCAAAUAAUGCCUCUGCCACCUGAAGUUCCAAAUGAGGAAGAAGUGAUUAGGGAUCAGCCAGAGAUUAGACUUGAGCGAGACACAGCCGGAGAAGCCUCCUUCAGAUUCCAUGAUUUUUCACUUCCGAACAACUGGGUUUGACUAUUCUUUCAAUUUUUCUCCUUGUCAGUUGAUCUUUGUAUAGGUUACCACGGAAGUUUAUAGUUGAUUCAUUCAGAUAGCUUAAAUCAGAAAAUUAGGAAUAAGAUCCUAGAAUUAUUCAUACCCUUCUUACGUGGGGUUUGUGUAUAUGCCAAACGAAUGUCUACUUGUGCCUAUUACCUGUUAUAAAUACUUGAAUGGGUUGGCAAUUUCAAUUUUGUUAAUUCAAUAAUUUUGAAUCUAAGUUUGUUAAUUUUAGAAUGUUGUUUUGUUCUCCUACUAUUAUUUCGUAUUUUGUUAAACGUGCUCCUAUUGAAAAGCAAAACGACACCGUUGUUAGAUUUCAUAGCAGAUCGAAAUUGGAACGCUAGAUAACUUUCGCCUCCAAACGAAAAGGAAAAUUUCAAAUUCCCGCUUAAGAGAUAAAUCCCAUUGGCUAUUCCUCUUCGCACAAGGAUUGCGAUCCGCGUGAACUUUUCAUAAUGAUUUCUCACCGUGGAUAAGUUCGAAAUCCAACGGCUAAAGUUAACGCAAACAAAACUACGGAGAAAAGCACCGCAGUUGCCCGUUUGUUUCCCUCUAGUAUUCUACCAUAAAUAGCCAUCAAAAUCUUGUUCCUCAUCAAGUUUCCCUCUCAAAAUCAUCCAUUUUCUUGUAAAACAAACACACUGCGUUUCAAUUUCUUAUUCGUCGAUGGCUCGCACCAAGCAAACAGCAAGGAAAUCAACAGGAGGGAAGGCUCCGCGGAAGCAGCUGGCUACAAAAGCUGCUCGGAAAUCUGCUCCGGCGACGGGAGGAGUAAAGAAACCUCACCGUUUCAGGCCAGGGACAGUGGCACUGAGAGAGAUCAGGAAGUAUCAAAAGAGUACUGAGCUUUUGAUUCGAAAGCUUCCGUUUCAGAGGCUGGUGAGAGAAAUCGCUCAGGAUUUUAAAACCGAUCUUAGGUUCCAAAGCAGUGCUGUUGCUGCGCUUCAAGAAGCUGCCGAGGCAUACUUGGUGGGGCUUUUCGAGGAUACCAAUCUCUGUGCUAUUCAUGCCAAGAGAGUUACCAUUAUGCCUAAGGAUAUUCAAUUAGCUCGCAGGAUUAGGGGUGAAAGGGCAUAAAUUUUCUUUCUUUGGUCUAUUAGUAUUACCUCUAUUUCUAAUUUUCCCUCUAAAUCUUUAUCUAGUGCUAAUUUCUUUGUAUUUUUGGUACUGGUUGCUUGUAGUUGCUUAUGUAAAUUUACAGAGAUUCAAUUUAAAUUUUGAAUUUUGCUCACGCAAAUUUAUAAUUUUCCCUCCAAAUCUUUUAUCUAGGGCUAAUUUCUUUUCGUUUCUUUUGUUGAACUAUUUUUCGAUGCAUUAUAUUUGCGGGAUUGCAUAUUUCUGUGUUUGCUUCAGUUCAGAAAGUUGUAGAUUGAAAUGAUUGUAAAGGGCAUGGCGUUUAAAUUAUCACUGUGGUUUUAUCACCAAGUCGUUUAGACAGGAUGUCUAAGUUACGCAAAGCAUCAAAUUUCAAUCCCCUACCGAUUACCUUUGGUUCUGUCGCCGGGUCCUUCAACUCCGGUAAAAUGUUAGGAUUUGAGCGAAUUCAUUAACAAUUAUACAUCUCAAAUUUGUCCAUCUCUUUAAUUUCAAAUUGCAUAAUAUUAUCAUGAGUUGUAUAUUUAAAUAAAAAUGUAAGAUUUAAGAAAUCUGUAGACAAUAAUAUCAAACAAUAAAAAAUUGAUUUUGAGCUAUUUUUAUUUUUUUUAUUUAACGUGAUAUAAAUUUUAAUAAAAAUCGUGGAUUUUACAUUUUCUCAAUAAGUAACCUUGAAAAUUUGACUCAGAAAUUAAAUGGGAAUUUAUUGCCAGGCCCCCACGUAGGCGUCAGCAACCCGCGCAAAUUAGCAUCACAGCCAAUGGCGGGAAAUCGGAUAAAGAAAAAAAGAUAGCAGUGGGUUUUCUUUUUGGCCUAUGUCCUCAAUAAUUCCUAGUGAUUGUAUUGCACGAAGAUUUUUUUGGCGAAGAUGAAGAAAUACCUGAUUCCCCUUAAACCCUCCCCUGAAUCCCCUAAACCUGUUCUGAGGUAAACCGAACUCAAAUUUCUUUGUUUCUUAGACCUCAAUUUGUAAUUCAAGAUGCGUUCCUAAUUUUUUUGUCUCUCGGAAUUGAAAAGCCAUGGAUGGAAGAGGAGCCUAAUUGAAUUGAAAGGGAGGUUUGAGCCUAAGUACCGCCACCAUCUUGCUGCCUUACUUAUGCAAUCCUACUCCGAGGUCCCUCCAUUUUCGUUAAAUUUUCCGUCUUGCUUUUUCAGUAAUUACAUUGCUGAUUCUCUUCCGAGCUGAAACUUCUUGUUUUUUUUUUUUUUUUUUUUUUUUUUUUUUUUCGUUUUGAUAUAUUUUUUUUGCUUGAUACGAAUAGGUUGGGGCAUUUCCACAUUUUUAUCACGUAGACGGAGUUCCUUGUCAAACUCAUGUAUGCAAUAUUACAAUUCAAUGUGAUUUGCUGUUUGCUUUUGUUGGCUGACUUUUGUUCUUAUGUCUUUUAUUAAUAUUGAAGCCUUAUUAGUUUGUUUGAUGUCACGUGAUUAUUUAACAUAAUGUUGCACAGAUGCAUUGGAUCGAUAGUGUUGCUAAUGCGGAUUCCCCAGUUCCAAUUACAAGGUCCACGCUUCCUCUCCACCUUGAUCAUUUUCCUGUUGACAAUUCUUAUGAAUAUAAGCCUUGUCGUUUAUUAUGUAUCUUUUGCUUUUCUAUACUAGCCAUUUGAAUAACCUUUUGCUGGGUGUGUGUGUGUGUCUCUGCUGCUCAAAUCUUUCUCAUGUGUUGCAUUUUCUUGAAAAAUGUGAUGUUUCUACUAUCUCUUGAUUAUUGGAACUUAAUUCUAAUGCUUCAUUCAGUUUGUCAAUUGCUAUUCCAGUGAUAGUUUUUAUGAAGUUCCAUUUAUUCAACCUUAGUUAAUAUUAAAGAGAUAUCUUAUUAUGAUCUUCGCAGGCAAGGUAUCUCUGCCAUGGAAUUUGACACUAAGGUGAAUGCUUUUGUCACUAUUUGCUAGUUAAAAUAUUGGAUUCUCAAACAUAUUAUUUUCCCCUCUAUAUCAAGCCUCUCUCCAUAUUAAUUUUCAUCAGUAUGGACAUGUUGGGCCUGCUUGUUUUUGUGGAUUUGGUUUGAGAACCUUGUUCUUUAUGCAUUCCACGCUUUUUUACCUUCCUGUUACUUUCUCAUCUUGUGGUUGUUGGAUGAAAUAUGAAGAUGGGGUCUCUGUUUCAUUAUUGUGGAUUGGUAGUCAAUGGGGUCAUGCCUGAAACCUUUUAAAUUGGUUUGCACAUAUUUUGUAAUUUGAAAAAUUUUUCCAGACUGUCUAUAUUGGGGAGAAAGAGAAGAACAAGAUAAAAUAAAAACAAAUAGCUAGAAAUUUAAUAAAAUAUGAGUAUUUGGUUGGAAGUUGAAAAAUAUUAUGAUAUCGGAUUAUGUUUCCUCGAUCGAUUUUUGGGCUUGUCCGAGCAAGGUACUCGUCUCUCUUCUGUCACAAGUGUGUGCACACUCAAAGAUUGUUGUGUAUUCUGUCCUCCUAAGAACCGAUAUCAGUUAGUGUGAUAAGAUGAAAGUACAAAUAAGUCCAAAUUGUUGCUUUCAUAAUUGCCAUUCUUUUUUUAACCUUUCAUUUCUGUUAUCCUUCUUCCCUAUUUUUAACAUUUGUAGAUACAUGUCCAGGGAGUUUACUUAGUGUCUGUGACAAAAUCGGGGUGCUUAACAGUUCAUGACUUUGAAACUCUUUAUAGCCAUACUAAUGGCUCAUUGCCAAGUAAGUUUCCCUUUCAGUCUGCAAGGAAAUUUUCAAUUGUCUGGUCCAUGUAUAAUAGUCACCAUGGGAUCUUGUGGUUCUGGCCAUUAUAACAAAUAUGAUGAUUAAAUAUAUCUAUCACAGGCCACCAGCUCUUCUUACUCAAGACAGUUAUCUCUCUUAGUUGUUUUUGUACAUAGUAUAAUUUUUUCAGUGGCUGCAACGUUUCUGCUUCCUUUUCCUAGUAGGCUCAAAAGAAGAUGAAAGCAAACAUGUAAUGCACCUUUCUUUGCAUCGGCAACUUGAUGUUGUCCGUUGGAAUCUUGCUCACCAAGAUGAGGUUUGGAAGCAUUUACUUGUCCGAUUGGUGUUAUUCAUUUUAGCAAUCAUAGAUGAAAGUAUAUUGCUUAAUAUUGUACUAGAAAUCUAACCUUCCCAACACUUGAUGUUCCAAUUUCUAGGUUGCCUGCUCAUCUAUGAAAAGAAAUGAAGUACUCAUUUAUGACAUUGGUUAUAUCUCAUCUGAACCAGUUGAAGUAAGUAGAUUUCAUUCUACAUUUUAUCUAACAGAAAUUUGAAAUUCUUUUGUACCAAAAUUUGUUUCAAUGGAUCUACAGUUCCACUACUUUCAAUUUUAAAGGGCAUAAGUGGAUCCCUCUUCUGCAAAUAUUUGAAAAUGCCACUUAGGAAACUUGGUUGUAGGAUUGGUAAUUGGUUGGGCCUGAGACAUUUGUGUUAUUUGAGAAUCACAGUUAUCAUAAAAGAAAGAACAGAAUUUGCGUAUGAUGGGCCCCGCACUGAAUUACUUUACUAUUCACCUUUUUCUUUGCUUUGAUAUUGUUUGCUGAAGUUCUGGUGAUAAAUAGUUUUGAAUGUCCAAGAAAUGAAUUUUGUUUGUUGUGGAUGCAGGUUUUAAGAACUAAGUGUACUGUCACGGUUCAUGGGUCUGAAGUUCAUAAAGGUCCAACUGAUAUAGCUUUUACAAUAAUUGACAAAUCAAGGUUGGUGAAACAAUAGCUUUUGGUGUGAUAAUUUCCCAUUCUUUUCCCAAACUUGAGUGCUGGGAUGCUGAUUACUGGCAAGCAAGUAAUAUAUAUCAAUUUAUAAUUAAGGUCAUACAAUAUGAUGUCUAUGGUAGGAUGAAUGCUUAAUAUGAAUACUCCAAAUAUUAUUGUACUAGUCUUGUUCUUUGACCUUGUUUAUCCCAUCCUUAACAUCUCUUGUCUUUUAGGUUUGUAUCAGUCUUCUUUUAGCUCAUUUUCCCUCUGUGAUGAUAGGUUAAUUGCUUCUGACACACAUGGUGUAGUUAAUAUAUGGGAUAGAAGAAUGGGUGUUCUUCCAUGUCUUGAGCUUACAACUAAUUCCCGCAGCACGAUCAACAGCAUUCAAAUGAACGCGGAAAAUCAGGUAAUUACUCGUGGAGAACAGUUACUGAUUUAUUGUGAAGUUAUAAGCUUUGCAAGAGGUGAAUAUUUAUGUAGCUCUAUAUAUUCUCAUAGCAAUAUUUGUGGAAAUGCCAUUUGUCUUAGAGCAGCAACUAAAUUUGGGAAUUUGGGAGGUUUAAUAUUAUCUACGAUCCACAAUUUAGUUUUAAUAUUUGUUCCAUUGAAUUUGUUUUAUUUUAUAAGCAUAAGUUGGAAAAUGUUUAUUCUCUUAUAUGGUAGAUUCUCUAAAAGUGAAAAUAAUUCUCAUUAUUUGUAAAUUUUGUUGAUCUACGUUCUGAAGGAGCUUAAAUAAAAAUGAGUUAUUUUGACGCAGAUGGUUUUUGGGGCUGGCAGGCAUGGAAUUGUUUAUGCAUGGGAUCUUCGUGGUGGAAGAGCAUCCACUGCCUUCCAAAGUCAUAAAGAGGUACUUUUUUGAAUUCUUGUUAUUUAUGGCAUGGUACAAGAACUGGACUUGCAAGUGGACAGGAAGCAGCUUUCAAACAGUAGUAGUCAAUACUCAAAACUAACUACGAUGUUAUCAUGAUUUUAAGUUUUACUGGCUAGCCACACUUAGGCACAAACAAAUGUUUAUCACAGUAGUUUCUAUUGAAGCAAGCAGCACUAACAACUUUCUAUAUCAAUAUUUGCCCAUUCAGUAGAACAUAUAUGAUAUAUAUAUAAAUUAUUUGUGGUAAUUGAUAGAACAAGUGCAUCAACGUUUUCCUUUUAUCUGCAAUACUCUGAAUUUUGCAUAAACAGGUGUGCCAUCCACCAGUGACAUGUUGGAAGCUAGCAUCAAUGUUAGAGAAAAUUGCGAUGUUGAAGGUAAGUAAAAUAUUUUUUGUUGCCAUUUUAAUAUUAUCACUGCUCAAAGGUCAAUCUUGCCUUAGUUAAUCCUCUUAAUGACACAGGCUCAAUCAGCUAUUACCCCCAAGGAAGUGCACUCCAUUGAUUUUGAUCCAUCUUGCCCAUAUCAGUUGGCAUUUCAUCUUGAUGAUGGUUGGUAGGUCAGGAAAUGAACACAUUUACUGUUUUUGUCAUGUUUCUAGGUGUCAAAUUAUUGUGGCAGUCACCUAUCUAAUCUUGCUGACUUUCAUUGCUAAUAUUUGCAGUAUUAUCUAUUUAUCUAGACUAUAUUUCAUUACUGGAUAAAAGCUUAAUAUUUUACUUAUUUCCUUAACUAUUCUUUUUAGUUUACUUCUUCCUUUUUUAGUUUUUGGGGGCGUGGUAGGUGGGAGGGUGGGAAUGUGGAGGAUUUAUUUUGUUUUAUUUUUUUGAAAGCCACAUAUUAUAGUGACUUGGCAAAUAUCAGAAAUCAUGGUCAAAGCUUGCUGUCGUGGCAUUUUCUAUCUCAUAUUUGCUAGGUUGUUUUAUUUCUUAUUCUGUUUGAAUGGGAAUGAAGUUGAAAGCCAAUUAAUUGAACGUAGCCAUAUAGGAAGAAAAGGCUGAAUGCAUGAUAACUAUGAGCUCAACUAAUAAUCAGAGUCUUGACCAUGUCAACUGGAAGAUGUGCUUUGUCAACAGAAUGAGCACUAAAUAGAACAGAUUCUUAUGACGGGUUCUAGUAAGACUUGAGAGAAGAAAUUUUAGAAGCAAAUUUCAAUACUUUUGAUGCAUCAAAGAGUUACUGCUCUCGUUCAAAUGAAUAAGCUUGUAUGCAAACAAUAUGGUUGAAUUAUUAUAAUCUUAUUCUGAACUUUCAGAUCUUCAAGUAAUGCAGGUCGGGUGUCUUGGAUAUUUAUAAUUUUAAAGUUACACAUGUUCAUUGCCCUCCUCCAGCUUGGUUGUAAGUAAAUUUUGUUCAUCCUAUGUUGCAAUAUAUUGUAAUUGGUAACCAAAUUGUAUUCCCUAAUUGUUAAAUUACUUUGAUGCUUUGGAUUGAGCAGGAAUGAUUCCAACAUUUCAGCUGAUCUUUUAUACUUGAGAAAACCAUCAUGGCUGCCAACAUAUUCGGUAUGAAUCCUGUACCCAAUCUCUUUUAUUCACCCACUUAAAUUUGGUUUGAAGCCAACUGGGGCUUGACUAUGUUUGGUUCUCGUGUAAUUUGGGUGGAAUGUGAUGUAUUCCAAUGCAGGUGUAUGUGGUUGGAUCAUCAUCUGCCAACGGCAUCCAUCUUUUAGAUUUCUAUCCUGACCCUAGUUCUCCCUGCCAUGUAGACAACAGGUAAAAUAUCUAUUCAUGUAAAUCUGGUCCAUCAAUGGCUGAAUUUUGGUUAAUGACCUGAUUUUUCCUUUGCUGGUCAGACAAGAAUUGUCAUCCUUUCUAAUCAGUUAUUCAUAAAUAUGUAAAAUACAUUUAUUGUGUUUCCAAAGAUUCCAUCAAAUCAAUUCCUUCAAUACGUGUGACCUUAUCAUUUUUCUUGGAAAGUUAUUAUCUCUUUGUACAGUCGCCUUAAAGGUGCUUCAUAAAGUGGUAUCUAUUCUAUGUCUACCCUAAAAAGAAGAUUCAUGUCAGUUUUUUAUUAUCCUACCAACUCCCCCUCCCUAAAAAAGAAAGAAAAGCUUUCUUGUCUGUGCUCAUUUUGUUUAUUUGGAUUUCAUUUUCAGAUCAUUUACUGAUUAGUUGUAACUGUUGUUAUUUCAGUGAGGAUGUAGAGAAGCAUUCUGGAACAAACAACAAAAAUAAACAAAAUAAGUUUGUUCCAUUAUCUGAAGCUGUUACUGCAUGCGCUGCACAUCCCAUGAAUGGAGCCAUCAUUGCUGGAACUAAGGUUUGUGGUUUUGGAUGAUCUAAUUAUGUACCUUUCUGAGAUCUUUCUGUAGUUGUGUCUUUACAUCUGCAUUAUAGAUUUUGUUAGUUUGCGAUUUUCGAUGACUUGAGGUUCACAAGUGAUGAAAAAUAGCACCUUUAUUUGGUUGCUUGACAAUUUAAGCAUAACCCGUAAGCACUUAUCUCAUAUUAAUGUUUCAUUGCUUGACCUGCAACUUGCACAAUCAUUGACAUCAUAACUAUUAAUCUCAGCCUUUUUCAAUGUAUCAUUAUCUUCCCAUUGUACUUCAAAAUAUGGAUGCUGAGUUUUUGAAUAAUGAUUGAUUUCAGCAUUCGUCUUUACUGGUUGUGUCCCAACAAAAGCAGUCGCUAAGAAGCUAAAUCAGAACGUGAGGAGUCGCACAAAGAUCAAAAUUCAACUGCCGAUCAUUUAUGUUACGCCAUUCUGAUUCUGUCAGACACCGGAUGCAGAAGAAACGCAUAAAAUGCUCAUUAUAAGCUGCAGAGCAGCACACCCUUUAACGCAUGUAUCUUCUCAUUUCAAAGACGCCAUCUCUUGUGCUGUAAUGUUGAAUGAACAGAUGAAUUUUAGUGCCUUGCCAAUUGUAUAUGGUUUUUAGUUUACCUAAAAUAACAUGCUAUUAGCUUUCAAUUGCUAUUUCAUUUAACAAUUUGGACAAAUACAUCAAGGAGCCAGAACAUCAAACCCAAUUAGGUAUUAGAUUUGAAAACAAUUUACAACCACGAAAUCUGAAUAUUUAUAACCUAACCAAUCAUCAAAUAGAACCAUAAAUGUAACCAAGGCAAUACAGUAUUCUAGUGAGAUGGACUGUUCUAUGCCCUUUCACCCCUAAUCCUCCUUGCAAGCUGGAUGUCUUUAGGCAUAAUGGUGACCCUCUUAGCAUGAAUAGCGCAGAGAUUUGUGUCCUCAAAGAGACCGACAAGGUAUGCUUCUGCAGCCUCUUGAAGAGCCGCAACUGCGCUGCUUUGGAACCUUAGAUCCGUUUUGAAAUCCUGAGCAAUUUCUCUAACCAACCUCUGGAAAGGAAGCUUACGGAUCAAGAGCUCAGUACUCUUCUGAUACUUCCUGAUUUCUCUCAAUGCGACCGUCCCAGGUCUGAAACGGUGAGGUUUCUUCACUCCCCCAGUUGCCGGAGCUGACUUCCUGGCUGCCUUAGUUGCCAGCUGCUUGCGUGGCGCCUUUCCUCCGGUUGAUUUCCUCGCUGUUUGCUUGGUGCGAGCCAUAGCAGUUGAUCGAAAAGUGAGUAUUUGUUUCUUGAGAAAAUAUGCAAUAUCAAACUGAUUCUGUGAGCGAUGGCGAUGAGAUUUAGUGUUCCGGAUAUCAUUUAUAGCGGUUAGUUUCGGAACUUUUGUGCGAGUGAAUGGCUUUUUGGAGCGUUGAUCGGUAAUAUUAUGGACGGUUAGGAUGGCUAUCCGCGUGCUCUUUGAAUCGACCAAUAGGAUUUUUUGUUUAGUAAGCGGGAAUUUGAAAAGUUCUCAGAUGGGGUGUCUGGACCGUGGAUGUAACAGUAAUCGACGGUUGAAGUUUCAUUAGAAAGGAGACAGGAUUGAGACUUGAGAUCCUCUCGCCGUCUUUUUAAUAUAAUAUAAACAUAAAAGGCGGCAAUAUUUAACCUUUUUGGCUGACAGGCUUUCAAAAUUUGCAAACUGCGUGAGCCGUUCAACUUGACCCUUUCUCAGGCCCAUUUUGAUCUUGUAUGGGCCAUAGGGACCUGUCUUGAUCCAUUUCUCUUGGAUAAUUUUCUGAGAUUAAAAAAGAAGAAGGGAAAGUCCAUGCAUUGGGCUUACACUUGGGGCCUGGGGGCAUCUAAGAAAUGGGGUUGGUAAUUUCACCUGUCCCGACCUGGAUAGACGAUGUGAAAUGAAAGUGAAGAUAUUCUUUUUCUCGAUGUAAUUGGAAAUAAAAUAAAAUUUUCGAAAUAAAAAUUAACCUUUUAAAUUUAUUCAUUUAAAUAUCACAGAAUUAAUUUUAUAAUUACAUCAAUUUUAAUGAUCAUUUAAAAUAAAUUGCAUUAAAUUAUUUAAAAAAUAAAUUUUUAUAGUUUAGAUAUUCUUUAGGAGAGGAAGUGCUUAAUUCACGGGUCAUGAAUCCUACCAUAUGAGGAUAAGCUUUUUUAUUUUUUAUUUUUUCCCCCUUGUAUCCCAGUUUGAACGACAUUGACAAGAAAUUCAUAAAUACUAACUCAAUUAUUUCAUUCAUAAAAAACAAAAAUAAAAAUAGAUUACAACAAUCAGCAAUAGCAGAAGAAAAUGUUAUAAAGUCAGUAUCAAAAUAAUUAAUGAGAGGUACCCACGACACAAACUUAUAGCUACAUGUUUUUCUCUUCCCCAUUCCCCAGCAUGCCAACUUAUGUUUUGCUUAUAUAUUAUUUAUUUAUUUAUUUAUUAGGUUCAAUCAAUCACCAAUGCACAUAAAAAAUAACCUCUCUAAUCGUAUUUAACAUUCAAAAAAUAGCCAAAUUUCUUCAUUUUAACUUAAAUUUAAAAAAAUAUAUAACUAUUACAUACACCAGAGAAGAGAAUAUGGAGUUUAAGAAACAUCCAAGAGAUUGGAGUAUUGUUAUGAUCCUCAUUCCUCAAUAUUAGCAAUUUUCAAGGAAUAUAUUAUUUUAUGAAACAAGACAAACUAUGAGCACAUAUGUUGGUGACUGUGUUCUGGAAAUUGGAGAUGUUGCAGGGCUAAAAACAUAUGGCUUCUAACCUAAUUUUAUACAUAUGUUUUCUUUUUUUUUUGUCUGAAACUGUAUUUCAUUUUUCACAACAAAUUAGAUUCCCAACUACCACCACCUUACUGCUGAAUUUUAUUAUACAUUUUUCUUGUUUUAGCGUUGUACUAAAUUAUUGUCUAUUUAAGCAAAUUUAAAUAUUCGUUAGUAAGUGACGUAGUAAAAUUAUUAUCAACAGAAUAAGCUAAAAUAGACUGCAUUUAGAGGCAUAUUUUAUGUUAAUCAAUUUGCGGGUUGCACUCUCGUGAUAAUAUAAAGAAUGUCAAUUAAAAUAUAGAGGCAACACUUUCAGGUUUUGGCUCAUUUGGCAACACAUAUCGAGCAUGUGAGAAGAACUAUCUCCACUAAACACACUUACAAAAAGAAGUGAAGAGUUUUAACUGUGAUUAAGUCCUGAACUAGAUCAGGCGGUUCCUGAUAAUAGAGUUCGGAUACCAGUAGUUUAUACCAUGAAAAAUAUAUAGAGGGCAGCCAACAAAUGACUUGGCAUUUGUGCAAGAGAUAGGGAUUAAGAGAGCAUAUUCAGUAAGACAAUUACCAAGGAUAAAAAGAAGCCUACAUAGCUACAUAUACAUAUAUAUGAAUAUGGUAAAGUAUUAAUAUGUAAUAAUAAAUUAAUAUGGUGAUUUAUAGUAAUAAUGAUUAAUUAAACUUAUAGGAAAUUGGAAUCAAACUUCUAACCAAAUGGAACAAAGAAAAGAGGACAAAAAGCCAAAACACGAUACUGAGGAAGAGCCAGAAAGAAUGGCUUAGCUUUCUACUUUCUCUUCAAAUGUAAAAUUUUCACUUGCAUAAUAAAACUGGCAAAAAGAAUAAAGUAACCAAAAUUGAUGGAGAAUGUACAUUUUGUGGUCACCUCAUAAUGAAAAAGAUAUAGGCAUGCUUGCUUCUUCAUGGCUUCUAUUGUAUCUUUUCCUCUAUUAGUUGCUGUUUGUAUUCUUUGUCAGUCCAAAGAAAGAGACAUUGCAAUCCCUAUCUCUCUUGUUUCUUUCAGACAAGGCUGUAACUGAAAAUGAAAGCUUAGAUAGAAAUAAUGAAGCACACUCUAUUAAUUACUUACCAUUAUCUUCACAUUAUAUAAUAAAGCUUCAAUCAUGCAGAUUUAUUUAAUUAUAGAUUUCUUUUUGAAAUGUUAAUUAAUUGCUAAUUAACUAUAGAUUUGGCUUAUUUGUAAGUAACCCUAAACAUCAUUUUAUAGAUAUGAUUGCUUAUAAGCCUUUUAAGUAUGGAAGUGAUAAUGGGAUACAGAAGAAAAUAGACUGGGGUGAGGUGGUUUUGAUCAUUACAAGUGCUUCCACCAGAUUUUUUAUAUAUAAAUGAAUUUUCAUUUUAUAAUUAUAAUUUGUACCUUAAACUUUACAGCCAUGCUCUAGCUUUGGUAGUGAUACCCAUCAUGUGCCUAGACAUAUAUAUAUAUACACACACAUGUAUAUCUUACUCAGCAAUGGGACAAAUGGGUACUUCCUAUACUAUCAUGAGAGCAUGUAUUGGGUCCAUAUAUAUGUGGUUCUCACAUGCUAUGUAAUUGGUUUGGUGGCACUGAUAUCUUUGAUUUCUAUUUUUUUUUUUUUUUUUGAGUUUUCUUACAAAAUAAAAAAGAAAACCUCUAAAUUUAAAUCUCUUAUUGAAAUAUUAAUAAAUUACUAUUUUUUUUUUCCCUUUCAAAAAAAAAAAUUACUAUUUUUUUAUUUAUUUAUAGGAGACUCAAUAUACAAAAUUAACAGUGAUCAAUUUGAUAUUUCACUCUCCAAUAUUUCUACAGAACUUGAGAAAAUCACCUAAACCUAAGCAGCUAAUUAAUUAAAGAUUUGAACUUACACUUUGGUUUCAAGAUUAGAAUUUAGAACCUCAUACUAACUUUCCCAACAAAACAAAAGACUUUUCAAAAUUUUAACUUUCCAAUGUUCCAAUCAUAAUUACAUGUCUGCUUUGACCUUUUAAUCAUCAAAUCAGAUAGUAAGACCUAAUUUUGAUGUUUGGUUAGAAAUGUUUCUUUUCACUUUUCAUGUCUCAGCUAUACAUGUACAGUGAUGAGCAUAUGAAGGAAGUUAAGAGCCCGGUGGCUACUAGCUGUAUAAAGAGUUUUUGCAUGAGAAUUAAAAAAAAAUUAUUUCUUUUUAAUUAUAAUAAAAUCAAAGGUAAUUUGAUAAAAUUAUUUUUUAUUUCAUAUUAUUAUUCAUAUCUCAUAUCCUUGUAUUUAAUAUAAAUAAGAAUAAUAAAAUUAAAAAAAAGAUCAUUUAUUAUUCUUUAAGACACCGAAAACGAUAUAUAUAUUGAAAUUAGAAUAAUUUACAUUACAUAGUUAUUAAUUAAUAAAACAAUAAGCACUGUGUUGGUGAUUUGAUUAAGCAAGCUGACCACUUUUUGCAUGUGGAGGUUUUGACAAACCAUACUUACUUUUGAAGGGGUGGUUGCCUCUCUAACUUAAUUUUGGAUAAAUUAAUAAUUACUUUUCUAAUCGAAGUAGUUAUGGGAAACAACGACCUCUGUAUUCAUUUAAUACUUUAAUUUUUCAUAAUCCUACAUGUAAUUCCAUUUUCAAUUAUACAAAUAUUCUAAUUAUUAUAAAUAAAACUAUUGUUUUCCGAUUCCAACAAUACCCUUGCCUUCAUGGUGUACUCCCAGGGAUUCCUCCACUUAGAGAAAGUGACUGGCAAUCCAGUGGAAUUACAUGCAGUGUCAAGGAUUAAUAUAUUUUGUAUUUUCAUGUAAAUUUUACCUGUAUAUCACCCUAAUUGACUAUAAAACACUUGUGCAAAUUAAAGAAAAAUAUAAUUAUAUUAUUUGAAAAUUAGAAAUUUAAAAAUAAGUUUAAUGCUUGCUUGGAGUUCUCCUUCUCCAAACGUUAAUGUUCGUAUGAGGAGAAAGAGCUCUGUUUGGUCCCCACGACGGCACUAUACUUCACAAGAUUCACUGUUUUAAAUAAAAGAGAGAGACAAAGACCCUCUGGAAGGUAUUGGAUUUUUUCUGUCCCCCACAUCAGAAUUCCCUUUCAGCCAGAACCUGCAUUGGGAAAUUGGGACUCGGUAAGUUUUUCAUUUUUACUUUCUGUUAAUAUGUAAUUAAAGACAAUUGAAAAAAAAAAAAAAAAAAUGAAGAGGUGAUAUUUUCGUCUAUAUUGUGUCGCCUUGGCAGCAUGGCCUAGCGGUAAGGCGGAGGACUACAAAUCCUUUUUCCCCAGUUAAAAUUCGAGUGUUGCCUGAUCAACAAAAGGCAUAAAAUAUAUAUAUCUAAGAAAGACUUACCUAUACUCAAUGUAUGAAUCAAUAAUUUAAUUUUCUUUGAAAAGAACAAUCUCAUGUGGAAAAGUUGACAGGUGGUAAAAUUUUCCAAUGGCAAAUGAUUUCCUCAACUUUCUUUAGUAGCACUCAAUGGAAAAAAAAAAAAAAAAAGUGUCUUUUCUUGUGUCAAACCACAUCAAUGAUUUCAAGGACAUUUAUAUAUAUAAAUGUUGCAAGUUCCACAUAACUAGUGGUGCUUCAUUACUUAUUUCUUUUUCAAUGUAAAUAUGCUUCAAAAGUUCUCUCAUAAUAUGCAAUUUUCUUUCUACUUUUUUUUUUUGGAGGAGAACUUCCAUGUAAAGAUGUUGAUAGUAUAUAAUUGAUAACAUGUAAUCUUGGAGGAGUAAACAAUCACAAUUCAUGUAAAAGUGAAAAUACAAAUUUAAUCCCAGACAGAGCAAUUUGCUAGAAGUUUAAAAAAAAUCUUAAAGAUAUCAAAUUUGAAACUUUAUAACCUUUCAAUUAUGGCAUGAUUGAGAAUUUGAUAUGGAGAGAUAUCACCACUUUGAAACAGUUGUGAUUGGUAGACCAGUAGCUGUGUAAUCUUGUGGAUAAUUGUAACACAUUUUGAUGUUGGCAAUUUUUGUUACUUUUAGAAACUAUGGGCAUUUUAGUCAACCCAAAAUACAAUACAGGCCUUGCCUACAUAGAGCAAAAACUACUAAAAUCUCCUCUCUCUCUCUGCUUCACAAGCUCACAUUCUAUUCAUCCAUAUUGAACAAAGACAAAAUCUCAUUGGAGUUUUAAGAUAUCUUAACCCACCUCCCACACACUCACUCUCUUUCUAUUUUAUAAGAUAUCAUCUCCAUGUCUGCAAACCAAAUCCAACCAUUAGAUACCCAGUUUCGAUUCCAAUUUGUUCUUUUUCUAUCUUGAGGGAAAUCCUCCACCAUAUAAAAUUUUUUCUCGUUCUUUUCUUUGGAUAUAUAUGCUCUGCUCUGUAUUUUGCUCUGUUUUUCAUGGCUGCCGCUCCUACUUCUGCUACUACUCAAAUCUUUCAAAGCCUUGACAAUAACAAUGACAACAAUAACCAUGAAGUUAGCAGACAAGAGAUACAAGCUGCCAUUGCUAAAGCGGUGGAGCUUAGAGCUCUUCAUGCUGCUCUGAUACACGGAAACAGCCCUGCCAAUCUCAAAUUCUCUUCUUCCUCCCCUGUUUCACGCCCUGUUUCUCACUACUCUGCUCAAGAUUACCCUGUUUUUACUCCUGUAAGUUUCAGCGUCUUUCUUUCAAUUGUUAAUUUUCCUUGUUCAUUCCUACAUUUUUUUUUGGGCUUUCUUGCAAUAUGGUUUCUUAGUCUUUACUCCAUCUUAUACUUUGCUUCUACUUGAAAAAAUAGGUUCUUUGAUGUAAUUAAUAAAGAAAAGGAAUUUAAUUUCACCUAUUGUUGUUGUUGUUGUGAUUAUGACAUGUGUGUUCAGCAAAUUAUUAUGUGCAUUAAUUGAUUUUCUAUUUAAUGAUUUGCUUAAUAAAUUCUGGCAAGUUGCAGUGACGGGAUAUUUUGGGUUAAUAAUCCAAAAGAAUUUACUCUUGCAUUUCAUUAUCAUCAUAACUCUCUUGUCGUUCAAUAUUACCUCCAAUUUCCAAUUUUAAAUCUUGAUUUUUUUAACCGGUUAUCACAAAUUCUUUUACUCCCUUUUUUCAAUUUUGUUUUGAUUAUAUGAUUCCUUUCAAAUUAAUUGAUGCAUCUUCUUGUCUAGUUGAACUGUUGAAGUUCUAACUUUAAAUAACUCCAAUGCUAUAAAUUUGUAAUUAUUUGUUUCCUCCACAGAGUUAUGAAGAUGAAACAUUGACUGGACAAGAACAAAUACUAGCAAAAUCAAGAACAUUAUCAGAAAGUUGGGAUGACUAUGAACUAGGAGGAGGAAAUGGCUAUGAAAAAGUUUUAUCGGACUACAAGAAGGAGAAUUCAUCAUCAUCGAGGAAAGGAAUUUCUUCUGGUUUCGAAUCCCAUAUUUGCCCUGCUGAAGAUCAAAAAUCUGUUACUGCUUCUUGUGCAAAUAAUAUUACCGUGCUUCAAACAUCGCCCGGAACAGAAUUCUAUAAGUCUGGUAGGAGAAAUAGCCUGGCAGAUUUCAAAUCUGUAUCUUCUUGCAAUAGAUGCAAGCCUGCUACUGUUACCUCUGAUUAUGAAAAUGUGACCACCAAGAACACCAAGCAUUCUAACAUUGUUGUUCCAUGGACAGAUUCUCACUCAUCCGUUCAACCACAACAACCAAAAAAUCGUGGAAUGAUUUCUUGGUUGUUUCCAAAGUUGAGGAAAAAGUACAAGAAUGAGAAUUCACCUAACAGAACAGAAUCUGAAGAAGUUUCGCAGAUUUUCAAGGACAUAGGGAUAUUAUCAAUUGAAACAUUGAAAAGAGAAUUGACAGAAGCAAAUGAGAAUAGAGAUGCAGCCUUAAUGGAAGUUGCUGAGAUGAAAUCUUCAUUAGGGGAACUGAGGCAGAAGCUCGAGUACUUGGAGAGUUAUUGUGAAGAGCUAAAGAAAGCUCUCAGGCAAGCAACACUAACAAAAGGCUCACCAGUAAUUGACAAGAUGAGUAAGAGAGGGAAAUCCAACGGAGAAAAUUUAAUGCCGGUAAGUGAAGAAGUAAUGGUGGAAGGGUUUUUGCAGAUAGUAUCAGAAGCAAGAUUGUCUGUUAAACAAUUCUGCAAAAUACUUGUGGGACAGAUUGAGGAAACAGACGGCACUCUUAUGGACAACCUGAAUUUGCUCCUUCAACCAUAUAAACUCUCUCUCAAUUCAAAGUACUCUAAAGCAGUAUUAUAUCAUCUGGAAGCUAUUAUAAACCAAUCUCUUUACCAAGAUUUUGAGAAUUCUGUAUUCCAAAAGAAUGGUUCACCAAAGCAUCUAGACCCUCAACAAGACCGCCAAGCGCAGUUUGCAUCAUUUGUUGCAUUGAGGAAUUUAAGCUGGAAUGAAGUUUUAAGAAAAGGGACUAAAUAUUACAGUGAAGAUUUUAGUAGAUUCUGUGAUCAGAAAAUGAGUUGCAUCAUUACAACUAUGAAUUGGACAAGGCCAUGGCCUGAACAGCUUCUUCAAGCAUUUUUUGUUGCUGCUAAAUGCAUAUGGUUGCUUCAUUUACUUGCUUUUUCAUUCAAUCCACCACUGGGAAUUUUAAGGAUUGAAGAGAAUAGGAACUUCGAUUCACAUUACAUGGAAGACAUGUUCAUGGAUAGGCAAAGGUCAACGGAUUCCAGCCGGGUUAAGAUAAUGGUGAUGCCAGGGUUUUAUGUUCAGGAUAGGGUUUUAAGGUGCAAGGUUCUUUGUAGGUAUAAGCCUGCAGCUUAGUGAAAUUUCUUGUAAGGAUAAAAUUUACUUUUAUAAUAAAAAUAUUGGAGAAAUUGGGUUUCUAGUGAGUUGUAAUGCUAACAAAAAAGGGUUGGUGUUGUAUUGAGGAUUAGGUGAAGAUUUUGGAAGAUUCAAAUGUUGAAUGAUGUAAUUGAAGUCACCAAGAUUGUUGUAGUAAUAUGAAGUGAUAAUAUUCUUCUGUUUCUAAUUGAUUAUAAAUCAUCAAUCAUUCUUUACCUUAAUGUCUUUUAGUACCUAAAAAUAUUGUCCUUUGUUAAUAUCUUUACAUACAUAUCUAUUAUCAAUUUUGAUGGGAUUUGGCAAAAUUUCCUUUAGUUCAACAUAUAGACAAAGCUUCUCCCUCUAUCUGGCUUCUUGUUUAGUAAUCUCUGUCAGCGUAAUGUGACCCAGUCAAUAUUCUCCUUUCACUCUGUCUUUCAUCACAAGAGUCCAGCCGCUUGUCUAUUUGUCAAUCUUUAAAAUUUUUGGGGCCACUAGCAGGCCGAACUACUUAUGGUAAUCAUGGGCAUGGGCUUUGCAAUUCAGAUAUGAUGAUUUCUGUUUACAAUUACCGGCCCAUGUUUGGAAAUGCUGACUUGUUGUGUUUCUUGAAAAGUAAGCCAUCGUGGCUGCUUUGUGACCUUGAGAUUCGAAAGAUGAUUCUUUUCUUUCUAGUUUCAAUUGUCUGAGUGUAAAUCCCGACUGCAUUUAAUUAAAUCCAUCCAACCAUCUUUCUUUCCUUUCAAGAAACUGACAACCUUGAAAGGAAAUUUCAAGUAAUUUCAUUUCGUACCGAGGAAUGAGGACAACGGCAUUAACAUUGUAUGAAAUUAAUUAGGCUCUGGUGCAAGAGGUUAUCGGCAUUCAUUUGAUUUUAAAAUUGUACCAUGAUAAAUAAGUAUGGUACUGUCUGUUGAAGCUUCAAAGUAAGAUACAAAUUUGGUUUCUCUUCCUCCACCACUCCAUUUUUCUCUCAGAAAACAAUGGCAGAAAAUUAUAAGGAUAGAAUAGUAAUGAUCCCAUUCAUGGCUCAAGGCCAUAUAAUUCCUUUCCUAGCUUUAGCUCUUCAACUUGAACAAAGGAAAAAUUACUGCAUAACUUUUGUUAAUACCCCUCUUAAUAUUAAGAAGCUAAAAUUAUCUCUUCCUCAUAAUUCUUCCAUUCACUUUCUUGAAUUUCCUUUCAACAGCUUAGAUUAUGGCCUUCCUCCCAAUAUUGAAAACACGGAUUCUCUUCCUUACAGUCUCAUCUUAACAUUUCUUGAAUCUUCUUUAGCUCUAAAACCUACUUUCAAGAAACUAAUUUCUGCACUUGUUCAAGAGCCGUAUGGCAAGCCUCCAUUGUGCAUCAUGACAGACAUGUUCUUUUCGUGGUGUGCAGAGAUUGCACACGAGUUUGGAAUUUUCCAUUCAAUAUUUUGUGCAGGUGGUGGUUAUGGCUUUGCUUGUUUCUACUCUUUAUGGCUAAACCUACCUCACAACAACACAGACUCUGAAGAAUUCAUUUUGCCAGAUUUUCCAGAAGCUUCUAAAAUUCAUGUAACUCAAAUGACAGAUUUUCUCAGAGCAGCUACUGGAAAAGAUUCAUGUUCGAUAUUCCAGAAGAACAUGCUUCUUGGAUGGUUAAAUGCUGAUGGGAUUUUAUUCAACACGGCAGAGGAGUUGGACAAGCUUGGAUUAAUGUAUUUUAGAAGAAAAAUUGGAAAGCCAGUUUGGUCCAUUGGUCCAGUUCUAUUAUCUUCAGCAAACAGAGCUAAAGCGGCAAAUACAGCUGAGGUAUGCAAAAAAUGGCUCGACAGGAAACCUUUGAAUUCUGUCUUAUACAUAUGUUUUGGUUCACAAAACACAAUAACAGCAUCAAAUAUCAUGCAAUUAGCAAAGGCAUUGGAGGCUAGUGGCAAAAAUUUUAUUUGGGUUGUUAGACCACCAUUAGGGUUUGACUUAAACUCAGAAUUUCAAGAAAAGGAAUGGUUCCCAGAAGGAUUUGAAGAAAGAAUAAGGAGUUCAGGCAAAGGAUUACUGGUGCAAAAAUGGGCACCCCAAAUGGAAAUUCUGUCUCAUAAGUCAGUAUCUGCAUUUUUGAGCCAAUGCGGGUGGAAUUCAGUGCUUGAAGCUCUUAGCUGCGGUGUUCCUAUAAUUGGGUGGCCAUUGGCAGCAGAACAGUUCUACAAUGUUAAGCUUUUAGAAGAGGAGAUCGGAGUUUGCGUGGAAGUGGGUAGAGGAAAAACAUGUGAAGUUGGGCAUCAAGUUAUAGAAACAAAGAUUGAGUUGGUGAUGAAUGAGGAACAGAAAGGAAGAGAAUUGAGAAGGAAAGCUUGUGAGAUAAGAGACGUUAUCAAAGAGGCUAUUAAAUGGGAUGAAGGAUUUUUUAGAGUUACUUCUGUAAAAGCCAUGGAUGAGUUCUUGGAUUCUGCAUUGCUUAUGAGAAGGAAGAUUAAGAUGUGCCCAAAUGGUGAGGUUCAAAGUCAAAAUCUUGAAAAGAACAGAACCAAGGUUCUGAAUCCGAACUCCAAAGAAAUGGUAGUAGAAAGCAGUAACAACGAGAAAGCUAGGGAGACCAACAAUAUUGGUUGGAAUGAUAAUCCUCCUUAAUUCCUGUAAGGAUAAGCUACGAUCUUAUUUCCAUUUUAUUGUUGGUUCAGAAAAAUAGAAAGUGAUCGUUUCAGACUUUAAAUUGAUCAGAAAAACUUAUUUGCAAUCUUUAUCUAACCAAUUUCGUUUUUAUUGCUAAUGCAAUAAUGUGAAUAUUGAAUAGAAAAGAAUAUCAUUCUUUAAAAAAAAAAAAAAAAAAAAAAAAGAUAUCAUUGUAUUUUUUUUUUCUACAUGCAAGAAGAAUAUCAUUAUAUUAUUAUUAUUAGUAUAAAAACAAGAAUUCAUGGAGCUCGACAUUGUUGUUAAUGAUAAUUAGUUUUUUAGAGUUGCAAGUAAAUUAAUUUAAUUUAAUUUAUAAAUAAUUUUUAUUAUAAAAUUAUUUAAAUUAUUUAGUGUCAAUAAUAUUAAUAAAAAUUUUUAAAAAUAUUAUAUUUUCAUCAUAUCUAAUAUAAACCUUAUUUAGUAUCCAUCAAUAAUUUUUAUUAUAAAAUUAUUUAAAAAUAUUAUAUUACUAUAUUUUUAAUUAAAUGCAAAGGAGGGAUUAAAACCCAGAUGAACACUUAGUCUCCACGAUACCGGACUGCCCCAACACUUUCUGCCUCUAGAAGCUCACGAGUCAUGGGCCAGGGAUCAGACAACACACCAUAACCCCUGGGACCUAACAGCGCCUCUUUGGCAAUGGAGUCCGCUGCAUAAUUUGCUUCGCAUGGGUCACUUGCCAAUUACUAUAUUAUAUUAUAUUACCAUAUAAUACUUAUAUGUUACUAUAUAAUAUUAUUAUCAUAUUAUAUUACCAUAUAUAUAUAUAUAUAUAUAUAUAUAUGUAUGCAUAUUAUCAUAUUUAAUAUAUCCAUUAUGUAUAUUAUUUAAUAUUAUUUAUAUAAUUUGAUAUCGAGACUUUGAUUCAAGUUAUAAAAAAAAUUAAAUUGAAUAAUAGUAUCAUAUGUUUUAUUUUAUCCAAAACUUUGAUGUAAAUAGAAAAUUAAUAUUUUCAAUCAGAAUUAAUUUAUAUUUUUCACCCAAUCAAAUUAAAAUACUUAAUGACAGAUUUUCGUCUAUCCAUAAAUUUAAUAGAAUUCUCUUUAGAUUAUAAAUAAUAAUAUUGGGUGAAUAAUAAGAAAAUCGGUACAUUCUGCGUGUUAAUCGUGUCAAUCACUGAAACUAUAAAAGCAAAUUUUAAAGAGAAAAAAUAUAAGUAAUUUUUUAUUAAAGAAGACUAGAGAGAGAAUCUUUUUGACUGUUGAAAAAUGGAAGAGAGAGCUCGUUGGUUGGAAGUUGGACGAUGAACCAUGGUGGAAAGUGGAAACAACCUCCUAGGAAGGGGCAUUUAUUUUGCCAACGUAGAAACUAAAGACAAAAGAUUGUCCUGUGCGAAAACAUUAAUUAUUUGCUGCUUCCUGCUUGUCCUGGACACAGUCAAAGCUGAAGUAAACAAAUCUCUCUCUUUUCCUCUUCUCCUUCCUCCUCCUGCUAGAGUUUGAAAUGGCACCAAGAAAAGAAAGCAUAGUGUUAUUCCCAUUCAUGGCACAAGGCCAUAUCAUCCCUUUUCUUGCAUUAGCCCUUCACAUUCAAAAAACAAAAGUUUAUAAUAUAAUCCUUGUUAAUACUCCUUUUAACAUCAGAAAACUCAGAUCAUCUCUACCUCCGAGUUCCUCUAUUCGUCUUCUUGAAUUACCCUUUGACAGCUCUGAUCAUGGCCUCCCUCCAAAUACUGAAAAUACUGAUGUUCUUUCUUACCCACAUAUUAUCCGUCUCCUUCAUGCCUCUACUUGUUUAGAGACUGGCUUUAGAAAUCUCAUUAAGGAUAUUACUAAUAAGCAAGAAGAAGAACCUCCUCUUUGUGUUAUUGCUGAUAUAUUCUUUGGAUGGACAGCUACUGUUUGUAAAGAACUUGGGGUUUUUCAUGCCGUCUUUAGCGGUGCAGGUGGGUUUGGCUUGGCCUGUUACUACUCUGUUUGGUUAAGUCUUCCUCAUAGGAAUACCAAAUCAGAUGAGUUUGAGCUUCAAGAUUUCAAAGAAGCAUCAAAGAUUCAUUUGACUCAAUUGCCAUUAUCAAUUUCAGAGGCAGACGGGACUGAUUCUUGGUCUCUUUUUCAGAAAAAGAAUUUACCAGCAUGGGUUGAUUCUAAUGGGAUUUUGUUCAACACAGUAGAAGAGUUUGAUCGGGUUGGUUUAUCAUACUUUAAAAGGAAACUAAACCGGCCGGCUUGGGCAAUAGGACCGAUAUUGCUACCAACGGAAAACAGAACUCAUGCAGGUAAAGAAGCUGAUAUUUCACCAGAUCUUUGCAAGAAAUGGUUAGAUAAUAAGCCUAUCAAUUCAGUUUUGUACGUGUCAUUUGGCUCGCAUAAUACAAUAUCUGCAUCGCAGAUGAUGCAAUUGGCUUUAGCUUUGGAAGCAAGUAGCAAGAAUUUUAUAUGGGUUGUGAGGCCACCGAUAGGGUUUGAUAUAAACUCAGAAUUUAGAGGCAAAGAAUGGUUACCUCUUGGGUUUGAAGAAAGAGUAAAAGAAUCAGGAAAAGGGUUGUUAGUUCAUAAAUGGGCAGCCCAAGUGGAAAUUCUAUCUCACAGGUCUGUAUGUGCAUUUUUGAGCCAUUGUGGAUGGAAUUCUGUGCUUGAAGCACUAAACUGUGGGGUUCCAUUGAUCGGGUGGGCAAUGGCCGGAGAACAAUUUUUUAAUGUCAAGUUCUUGGAAGAAGAGUUAGGGGUUUGUGUGGAAGUGGCAAGAGGGAAGACAUGUGAAGUUAGGUAUGAAGACAUAAAGGGAAAAAUUGAGUUGGUAAUGAACGAGACAGAGAAAGGAAAAGAAAUGAGAAAAAAAGCAUUUGAGGUCAAAGAAAUGAUAAAUGAUGCCAUGAAUGAUAAGGAUGGUUUGAAAGGUUCUUCUGUAAAAGCUUUGGAUGAUUUUUUCCAAGCUGCAAUGUCAAUGAGAGAGAAGACAGGGAAAGAAAAACGAUGAUGAGACACAGAUUGGAGGUCUUUGCUGGUCAAUAUUUGAAGCUUUUUUUUUUUUUUUUUUUUUUGAAAAAAAAAAAUUUUUUUUUUGACAAUAAAAAAUUGUAAUGAGAUCAUGGUUGGACAAGAAAUGGGGAUGUACUGUUUAAUUAGCUUAAAUAAUAAUAAGAUUUCUAUCGAUGUAAUUUCAUGUAAUUUUUGUUUUACACUAGUAUAUGCAAAUGCAACACCUGUCCUGACCUAACGCCACAAAAGUUAGAAAUGGUGGUGGUUAUGAAAAGAAAAGGGAGUGUUGAAAUGAAAAUUGGAAACUAGUGAGCUCAACUUUUUAUAUUUUUGUUUCCAGGUGGCUGUGGUUUUAUUUGUGUGAUUUUUGCUUAGUUGGUUUCCAUUAGCAUGCUAAUGGAAAAGACAGAACACAAUUAACGGAAUUGGUGACCCCAUUUUUGAAUAAGGACGAAUCAUUGUUUGAUCUCUAUAGUAUAAUAUAAUGUGAUGAAUUUGUAAGUUUAUCUUAUACUAAUGUGAACCGAAUAUUAUUUUUAAUAAAUUACAAUUGGUGGUGUGUACCAUAAAUGUGCAUAGUAAUAGUAUCUUAAAAAGGCUAAACUCUCCUCGUGCAAACUAAAUUCUCUUUAUUGCCCCUAAGUGUGUCUAUCUACAACACGACGUACACAGAAGAUGGUCAAGUAUCAUGAAUACCAAGAAAAUAAACAAACUCCAUCAUCAUCUUUUACUAGGAGAAAUCAAUACAGUUUCAUAGUUCAUACUCCAAAGGUUAACAUUUCCACUGUUCUAAAAUAUUGCAUAAAAUGUUACCAACCAGUACCAAAUUCCUAUCAAUUUUAUAAAAAGAAAAAAAAAAAAAAGAAAAGAAAAGAAAAAAAAAAAAGAGCAAACUUCCUCUGAGUAAAACAUUUUUUUUUUUUUUUUUUUUUUUUUUGAGUACAACAUCAUUGACGCCUUGCCAUAAGAUCUAUAUGCGCAUAUUAUCAUUGUACCAAUCAUCUACUUUUGACUCUCUGUAUAAACACGUGGCAGUUAAUAUAUCUUUUUAUUUUCCAAUGCAACCAUCUGAUGUUUUAGCAGUAUGACAGUCAUAUAAAAAGAAUAACUUCAAGACACAUCAGAGCUUCCAGACUCGCUCCACCAAAAGCUAACCGAGAGACUUGUUGUUAAAGAUCGGACAUAGUGCCACCACUUUGGUGGGAUGUAAAGCAUUUCACCUUCCUCUAAUAUGCAGUCCAGGAAUUCCAAGUCAUGAACCUUUGGAAAUUCUUUCUCAUCCAUGUUAUCCAGAUCAACCUUCAAAAAGAAUUCGUGAAUAUUGAAAAACAGCCUAUACCAGAAAAAACUAACUUAUCUAUGUAAUGGAUAUCAAUACUAAGAAAGGAAGAGACAGAGAGAAGCAAAAGAGAUUACAUGCAUCAUAAACUCGUAGAAAUUUAAUGCACUAUCCAGCUACAGCAUGAAUUUCAAAAUUAUGGAAAAAUAAAAGGUAGGUUCUCCAGAUAGUUCCAGAGAACUGGGGGGGAAUUCAACAAGUUACCUGGCUGGAAUUAUGAAGCAUGGUUUCACUGUAUGGGUAAAGUUCUUCUGACAAUGAAGCAGGGUAUAGCCGAAUAUAUUUUUUCCCAACAACCUAAAAAUACAGUGCAGCAAUUCUGUCUGAGUGAGCAAUUACAUACAUACAAACAAAAACAUGUUAUAGUAGUAAAAUUGAAAAGAAGCACGCCAUAGCAAGAUGAUCAAAGCCCACAAAUGUUUUAUAGAGAUAGAUUAGUAAUUCAUAAAAGUACUCUUCAAGUUGAAAGGAAAAACAUUGAAUAGGAUGGGCGGGUAGGGGAGAAGUUAAAAAGCAUUGUCAUCAUCUUCAUCAAAAUAGCAGCAUGGUUGUUAAAGGUCUGCCCCGAGUGCCCCUUGCAUAAGGCUGUAAAUGAGCUGAGCUCUGGUGAGGGUGAGCUCGAGCUCAGCUCAUUAAGUAUAUACUUGAUGUCGAGCUUGUUUUGAGCUUAGAAAUCUAAGUUUGAGCUUGGCUCGUUUAAACAUAGUCAAGCUCGAGAUCGGCUCAAUCACCAUAAACUAGCUGAGCUUGAGCUCGAGCUUCGAAUCUAUCAAAUCAAAAUGAUAUUGUCUUAAUUUAAAUUUAAUUAAUUUUAGCUAAUUGAGUAUGAGCUUAAUUCAACUCAAUAAAGCUGCUCGCGAGCUUGGCUCGAUAAAGCUCGCUUGCAAGCUAAUGAGCUAAGCUCGAGAAGCUUAUCAAAUGAGCUUUAUCGAGCCGAGUCUCAAGCAGCUCAAGGGUGACUCUUCUCAUUUGGAGCUCUAGCCCUUUCACCUCAAACCUUGAGAGGCGAAUGAUGUCAUUGAGGGUCGUGACUUUUGCAAAGGUGCACACCUCAGUCUAGGAGAAAAAGGAAUAUCUACUUCUGCAAAUCAUGUCUCCUUUUGCCCUAAAUUUAGAAUUCAACCUUACCUCACUCAACCAUUUGAUUAGGGCAAAUCAUGUCCUAGAUUUUAGAAAUAAUUGCUAUAUAUGCAUAGGAUUCAAUAUUUUCUUGAUUACUAAAUUGAUUGGAGCAAAUCAUGCCCCAAAUCUUCGGAUGAUAUUACCAUGCAAGUAGAACAUACAAUCAAUUGAUUGGGGUGAAUCAUGUUACCAGUCCUCUCAGAAAUCUUGAGACAAUUAACAUAUAUGGUACGAUCUACAAAUAAGAUUAUGGGUUAAAGUACUUUUAUGUUCUUUUAGAUUUAUUGAUGCUAGAAUUUAAUUGUUUUAUGCACCUCAUGUCACCCAGGUAGGCGCUUGCCUACGCUUGCACUUUGUGCCCAGGCUCCAGGAGCCCUUUAUGCCUUGCGCCUUUAAUAACUACAGCAGAUCUACUUUCUCUAUCAUGGAUUCAACUUAUAGAUAGGUAGAGGCAUUGCUUAUAACUGCAUUUAAGAACAGGGUUGUCAUUGUAGCAACUUAAUUCAACAUUCAUUAAAAACAGGGGAAAGCUUAGUAACAUGCUUUUAACUGCAACAAAAACUAGGAUGAUGCUUGUUUGAUAGUACUAGUCUAUUACCCAUUAAAACAAUACUACUUAAGUAAUACAAAUAAAGUCAUAAAGCUGAAAUUCACCAAUAUGGAACUGCUAUACACAUUCCAUUACUCCAAUGAUCCAAACAAAAGUUACAAAUUUCUAGAACAAAGUAUAAAAUAAGAACUCAAACACACAUACACCGAUUUGUUACAUGCUAGUCCCAUUAAAAUCCAUCACACGCACUGGCUGGAAUUUAAACAGUUAAAAACAUAGCUCAUGCCUUAGCUAACACAAGGAAUAUAAGGUGCCUAGCAACAUAGCUAAACUUCUUUUCUUGGCAAAUGGUUGAGUGUGAACAAUGCGUCAAAGUUGGUUAGGGGCAGAAAAGAAUAAAUUCCAUGAGCAAAAAUAACACUAAAGGCAAGAAACAAAAUCUAGAAAAAGAUCCAUGGUCAAAGAAGCAUGCUGGAAUGCAGUUUCAUCAUGCAAACUUUAAUACCUGGGCAAGUAUAUUAUGGUGUGGAUCAUGGUGCAACGGUGUAACUGUCCCAGCUGGACCAAACCAAGCAUUAAGUGAUCUAAGCUCCCCACCUCCAGCAAAACAGUAGUCAGGAACGCA